rnacentral:lncRNA from 1 species
CAUAGCUUUGUUGGAAGUGAUCAAGUCCCUAAAUCCCCUCCCCCACGAUCUUUUCUUCUUUUCAAAGUAUCAUAUUUCUUCCAAUGAAGUCCUAUCUUGGCUUCAUUAUUCUUCCACCAAAAUGAAGUAAUUUUCUAUUCGAUGCAUAUGAAAAUUCAUAUUUUGAGAAUUGGCAUUGCAUAUUAAGGAAAGGCCCCACCACUACUUUGAUGAGGAUCUCUUUCCCCACCUUAGAUGGCAGCUUCUCUUUUCCAUCAUUCAAGCUUUAUGUUGACUCUUGUCAUGAUCCAUGUGAAUAUGUGCUUUUGUAAUUUGACCCCAAUUAGAUGGAAUCCUGAAGCGCUUUCCAAUUUUCUCUUACUGUUAGAAGGGAAUGCUUAGCCGAGAAACAAAACAGAAAGAAAGAGAGCUCACUUGAGGUGAGGAGUGCUCCUUAUUUUUUCCAAAGGGAUGGUGAGAAAAAGAGAGAAAAAAACUCAUGAGAAUCUGUCUAUCAACCAAAUCUAGAAGAUUUCAUAGGUGUUUUUGCUGAGUUUGGCUCAAAAUAGGCUGAAAGUCAACCAUUGUCUUCUUCACGGCCAAACGAUGAAGAAACCUACUGAGUUUGUUCACCGAUCAACGACCUCAUGAAGCUUAGUCGCCUCAAACUUUUGUCUUUAGUCUCAGCUAGGUAAACUCUCCUCUCCGAAUGCCCUACUAUGUCCCUAUUUUGGUUGAGUUUGAAGUUUUAUAUUGACGAUAAAUCCCAAUGAAUUGAGGGUGAUUCACUACUACCAAUGUUGAUUUUACAUCUCCUCUCCCCCGCCCCCCAAUGAUUGUGCGCUUAUGUGUUUGGACCGUGGGUUCACAUGCUACCCAUCAUUUGAAUCUUCUCGGUAUCAACCUGCAAUGGUAGAUGAAUCCGAACCCUUGUUCUUGUUUUGAGGCCCUCCAUAAAAGAAAAGAAAUGAAAAAAACCAAGUGUUUCUUGGGCUUUGUUUUUGUUCCCAUUUCCUUCUUUUGGCUAAAUUAUUAUUAGCAUGCUGAUCUGAGAUUGAAGUGAUGAAAAUGAAAUCCAUAUAUGAUUAUGAGGAGGGGCUAGAUCAGAUCAUAUUAUAGUAUUAUAAUUUAAAAUGCUACUCUUUUUUUUUUUUUUAAGUACCAUAGUCUUAGGCCUGAUAUAUGUGUAGUUGGUGCUUGACAUCUAUUUUGCUAUUUACCAAUCUACAGGAAAUGGCCAAUAUAUGGUUGGAGGGAUAUAAGUUUUUUCUUUUUUUCCUUGGGUCUAUCUUCAAAAAACAUUAUUUUUUUGGGUCUGUCUUCAAAAAACAUCAAUGCUCCUUUGUACUUUAAUUCCUGAGUUUUUUUCUUAGCCUUUUUUGUUUCUUAGGCAUUGUUGACUUAUAGUUGCUAAUGUUAGAAUUGGGUGUGCCAUAUGAAAUCCUGAUUGUGGCAUUGUUGAUAAAUUAUGUUACACAACAUGAGUUAUUACAGUUAAAUAAAGCUGCCAAUUGAAUUGCUAUCUUUUAAAAGAGCACUUUGUGUUUGGUUAAAUAUUAACGCAAACCACGCCUCAGGAGGUGGUUUCAUGGGUUAAGUCCAACUGAAUAAAACUUCAUUUGGGCCACUCUUGGGUUUGCUCUGCCUUGAUAACUACUUACUUGCAAUGCAGGGGAGACUACCUUGCCGAUAAUUAAACAUUAGAAAAAAAGAACGAAAAGCCAACACUUAAACAUUAGAAAAAGGAACAAAAAUUGCUCUCUUUGGGACUUUUUUGCCUUUUUGCUUAAUUCAAAUAAGAUGACAAAAGAACUUAAGCAUGUUUUGUAAUUGCUCUCUUGGGGUACGGUUUUGGUGUCCAUUUUGUUGCUGCGCUUAUUUUGCUACAUUUAUGUUGGUACGGAAGGAAAUCUCUGUAUUUUUUUUUUCUAGGGCUUGUGUGAACACUGCAUUAAAUUUACUAGGGACUUGCAAUAAAGAAGGAAACAAAGGAAACAAUGGUUUUUAUUUCCAAUUGUUACAUUUGCUUUAGCAUUCUAAUGUUGAGUGAAUCGUGGUGAGAAUGUAUACCUAUUGGACUUUGCUUUUUUAUUUUUUUGGAUUUGAUGACAUUGGGGCAGCAAUGGGUGUUUUUAGGCAUGGGUAGUAGCUAUCGGUUGAAUUAGUAUCUUAAACGUCACGCAUACAGCAUAGGCUCUUUAAACUAAUCUUGCAAGUCGAAAGUUUUUCACUUAUGGCUUGUGGUAUUUAUCAUGCUUUUUUAUUUGUGUUAAUGGAGAUUAUAUGGAUUGGGCUCUUGCUGGCUUAGGCCAUGUUUGGUACAAAGUGUUUCUGUUCUCCGGAACAAAAAUUUUUGUUUUUUUGUUUUUGUUCCCUGGAACAAAAAAAGAACAAAAAUGUGUUUGGUAAAACUUUUGUUCCCGGGGACAGCUUUGGAACAAAAACAAGAAGUAGAAAAAAGUUUCUUCUUGUUCUCGGGAACAAUUUUGAGAAACAUUUCUUUCUUCUUUUUUCUUUCCUUCUUCUUCCUUUAGCCAUGGCCGGCAAUCUCGCCAGAGCGUUGCCAGGCCACCGCCAGUUAGGCGUCACCUAACGGUGGUCCAACAAGGAGCCUCGCCAGUGGCCAAGUGAGGUCACCAGCGAGGCUUGACCUUGCCUAGGUGGCACGAGGUCAACCUCGCCAGGGGCCAACAACACUCCGAUGAGGUCGCUGACCAUGGCCAAGGCCAGUAACCGAUCAAAAGGAAAAAAAAAUGAAAAAAAAGAAAAAUAUUGAAAAAUUAAAAGGAAUAACAAAAUUAUACAAGUUUACCAAACACAUUUCUAUUUCUGUAAUAGAAAUUUUUUGCAGUUACUAAACGCAUUUUAAUGCUUAGAAAUUGUUCCCGGGAACAAAAAUAGAAAAAACUAUCUCUGUUAAAAAAUUGUUCCCCAAAACAGAAACGUUACUAAAUGUGUCAUUAAAGUGCUGAUUUGUUUCUAUUUAGAGACUUUUUUUUUUCAAUGGCUAGUUUUGUGCUGAUUUUUUGUAUUUUGUUUUGCAAACUAUACUUUUUUGCUCUUGCUGAUCAUUUAUUUAUAUCUCUCAAAUUUGUUCAUGUCAAUUUACUAAUAGACGACAAGUUCAUCAAAAGAAAAUGCAUUUUAGAAUUCAGAAGAUAUAGAAACAAUUUGUAAGUUGUGCCUUCAACAAAUUGAUAAUAUCAAUCAUUCUGCAAACAACAAAAAUGAUGAAUGGGCAGUCAUUAUUAAGAAGUUUGAGAAAUUACGGGGCAAAAUGUAUGAUAAAAAUCAAAUGAAGAGUAAGUGAGAUAAUCUAAAGGAAAAUUGGAAAAGAUGGAGGAUAUUGGUCAUAAAGGAAACAGUAUUAGGAUAGGAUCCAAAAAAGAAUACUAUUAAUGCAAGUGAUAAACAAUGGGAGAAGAAAAUUCAUAUUUUUAUCCAUUCUUUUGUUUUUUUUUUAUAAGUUUAUAUUUUUUUAUACAACUCAUGAACAUGUUUCUUAUAACAGGAAAAUUCUAAAAUAAGAGUUCGGCAUACAUCCAAAUCUUCAAAUUUUAUUGAAUAGAAUGUUUGGUGAUACAAUUGCUACUAAAAGUGUCACAUGGAAUCCUGUACAAGGCUUAUGUGUUGAUAAUGAUAUUGUGGCCACACAAUUUAACAUCAAUUAUUGUGCAUGAUUUGUUAAUGAUAAUAUAGAAUGUGAUGUGAAUGAAAAGACUAGUGAAUAGACUAGAAGCGAUAAAAGAACAUUGCAGAGUUCGGUGAGGCAAUCUCAAGAAAAUAAACAAAAGAAAUUGAGUACAACUACAAAACUAACAACGUGAAUGAAAAGAAUUUGUUCAGUUUUUGCAAGUAGGAGCCAUGUCGUAUCUUUUGCGAGAGAGUUGGAUCCUUACAAGGAAAUCAUAGAGAAGUUGAAAGUUACACCUAAGAUUAAGUAAGAUCAAGAGUUAUACUUUUUUUGCACUAGAUUAUUUUGCAGAAAAAAAAAAGACAAUAGGUAAAUUUUCAUGAAUUUGAAUGGUGAUUAAAAAAAAAAUGUUACGUGGUUCAAAUAUAAGUUUGCACAGCGUAAUUGUCACUAAGAUGUUAGCUAGUAUUUUAAAUUUUUCUUAUAUAACGUUGUUGUAAUAUGAUACCUAUUUGCACUACUUAUUUGUACUAGUCAAUUAGACUUGUUUAUGUUAUAUUGUGAGACCUAUUUAUAAUUUGUGUUCUCUUUAUUAAGGAGUUUGUAUACAUAUAAUGUCAAUAAGUGUUUUGUUAAUGGAUGAUAUAGAUAAUUUGUUGUAUUUCUUAUUCUAAUUUUAUUUUGUUAUUUUAACCAAUUAUGGAUGAUUAUCUUGAAAAGAGAAACUAUGAAAAAAAGAAAGAGGAAUAUUGGCAACUUUGUGUAGCUAGCAUACUUAUCAUGUUUACUAAGCAACAUAUGAUACCGUGCAUAACCUCAUCAUAUAUAGAAAAUGCAAGGCUGAGAGAGUUGAUGGGCACGGAUGUUAAUCCUGAAUUGUUUUAUUGAAUGUUUAUAAUGGAUAGAACUAUGUUUAAUAAUUUAAUGCAUGAUUUAAUGACAUGAUAUGAUUUCCAAGGAUCUAACAAUAUUGAUGUUGCAAAAAUACUAGAAUUAUUUCGUCGUAUUUUAAGACAUAAUAUGGGCAAUAAAUUAGAAUAAGAGCAUUUUCAGCAUUCUAGAAAAACCAUAAACGGUCUAUUUAGCUUGGUUUUGGAUAAAAUAUGUGAAAUGAGAGCAAAUUUGAUCCAAUCAUCCGAUCGACAAUUUAGGAAAGUUCAAAAGAAGAUCAGGCAUAAGAAUAGAUUUUAUCAACAUUUUAAGGUAAGUUACAAUUAUACAAUAGAAAAGAUGAAUUGAAUAUAAAUUAAGUAAUAUUUGUAUUCUUGUUUUAGGAUUGCAUUGGAGCUAUAGAUAAUACUUAUAUCCCAGCAAUGGUACUUACGAGCGAGCAAUUUUUUUUUUAUCGAUCAAAAAGGAACACCGACGCAAAAUGUAUUAGUUGUGUGCAAUUUUAACAUAGAGUUUAUUUUACGUUUGGGCUGGUUGAGAGGGAACAAUUCAUAAUACUCAUAUUUUUUAUGAAGGCAUUAGAAGAUGUGAUUUACAAUUUUCUCAUCCUCCAAAAGGUUUAUUAAUUAAUGAUUUUUAUACAUUAAUAUAUGUAUGCGUCAUAUGUUGAUUAAAUUUACAAUAUUUUUGUAUAGGCAAACAUUAUUUAGUAAAUGCCGAAUAUCAAAUUCCACAUGUUAUUUGGCGCCAUACAAAAUGGUUAGAUAUCAUUUGGCUGAAUUUGAACGAGGUUCUCAGCUAGCAAGUUAUAAAUAAAUGUUCAACCGUGCCCAUUUCUCACUGCAAUAAAAAAUUAAACGAGCUUUUGGUGUAUUGAAAAGAAAGUGAAAGAUUCUAAAGAGUAUGCCAAGUUAUCCAUACAAAAAACAAGUAAAAAUUGUAACAACGGCAAUGAUUUUGCAUCAUUAUAUACGAAGAAAUGCUGUGAAUGAUGUACAUUUUAUUAGAGUAGAUUUUGAUCUCAAUUUAUAUACUAUGGUUUCUGAUGAUGUAAAUGAGGAGGGUAAUGCUUCAAAUGAUGAUAUGACAUUUGACAUAGCACAUUUAUGUGAUGAAAUAACUAUGAAUUUAGGAAAUAGUUAAGGAUGUUUGUAAUUUUUAAAGAUAAUGAAUUUCUUUCUUUGCUGCAUAUGUUACCAUGUUUAUUGUAAUGAAAGUAUUCUUCUUGCAAUUGAGAAAGAGACCAUGGGAAUUUUUUCCAUUUGAUAUUUUAUCAAUUUAAACAAAUAAAAAUUAAAAAGCUCACAUUAAUUACCAUGUGAAUUUUUUUCCAUUUUAUAUUUUUAGCAAAAAAAAUAUUUUUUAAUAAAAUUGUUUACAUGAUAUCUUUAACAUUGUUAUCAAAAUAUAAUUCAAAUAGUUGCAAGUAUUAUUUUUUUCAAUUUAAAUAAAUAAAAAUUAAAAAGCUUAAAUUAAUCACCAAAUGAGCUUCUCAAAUAUAAGUAUUCUACCAAACAACAUUCCUCUCAAAGUAGAUUUUCAAAGUAGAGUUUAGUAAACGAUCUUCGCAUUUCCUCAAAGCCCUUCAAGCUAAACUACUUUACAUUUCCCCAAAGCCUCUUGGAAAAACUACACCAAAUGCACAUUUUGUUUACGUCCGAGUUUAAUUCAUUUUCAUUAAAUUAAUUGAUCAUACCGAAGUCUCUGCCUUGUUUUUGUGCUUUGUAUGUUGCAAUUCGCACAUCAUUGAGUUAACUAUGCACCCCCUCAAUCGAAAACCUUUUUUGCGCCGAAGAAGCCAGUAGUUCGAAAGCGCCUCUAAUCAAUCCAUUUCUCAUCCUUUAAUAUGCAUCUGCAUAUUCUUUAUGCUAAAAUUGUUAGAAUUCUAUCAUAUGCAAUUUUAAAGCAUAUUUCGUUAAAGAUGGUUCGGCAACACAAAAACCGUCAACUAGCUAGUGGUUCGCAGUGAUUUAGCACCGGUUGGAGUAGCCAACUGACGAGGGAGUGUUCAACGAAGGCUCGAGAUCCGUUGGGAGCUCGGCUGGAGAAAUGGUGGUUUAGUGAAUGACAUCUUUUAGUGGAGAAGAAGGCUCACGAAGGAGAUGAGCAAAGGAAGAAGAAAAGGAAAUAGGGAAUAAACAAGAAGAAAUAGAAAAUAAAAAUAAAUUAUUAAUUAUUAAAAAAUAUUUAAAAAGUCAUAUAUAAUCUAAAGCAGGUUGAAUCUAAGUAGUAGGCUAUGGGUGAGUUUGGGAACUACUUUUGGGGAAAGUCCUUGGGAAAAUGCAAAAACCUUAGAGUUAAAGGUGUUUUUUAAAAUGCAACCGUGUUUGGUAAAUUGUACUUUGAAAGCCCCUUUGUGAAGUACUUUGAACAAAAUAAUGUUUGGGGAAUUGCAUUUACAAAGAUCNNNNNNNNNNNNNNNNNNNNNNNNNNNNNNNNNNNNNNNNNNNNNNNNNNNNNNNNNNNNNNNNNNNNNNNNNNNNNNNNNNNNNNNNNNNNNNNNNNNNNNNNNNNNNNNNNNNNNNNNNNNNNNNNNNNNNNNNNNNNNNNNNNNNNNNNNNNNNNNNNNNNNNNNNNNNNNNNNNNNNNNNNNNNNNNNNNNNNNNNNNNNNNNNNNNNNNNNNNNNNNNNNNNNNNNNNNNNNNNNNNNNNNNNNNNNNNNNNNNNNNNNNNNNNNNNNNNNNNNNNNNNNNNNNNNNNNNNNNNNNNNNNNNNNNNNNNNNNNNNNNNNNNNNNNNNNNNNNNNNNNGCCGCCCCCGGAUCUGGGACGGCGAAGGUCGCGGGAGGUCGCACGGCGACACCGCGAACCCAGAUCCGUGGGCGGCGAGGCACGACCCAGAUCUGGUCGCCGCUCGAGCCUCCGGCACCAGAUCUGGUCGCGACCAGACCUGCAACUAGGUGGGUCGCGCGGCCCCGGUGAGCUUCGUGCGGAGGUCGCGAUGCGGCAGGCGACGGUCGCCGGUGACCGCGUGCCUUUUGGCCACCAGAGCUGCGACUUGCGGAGGUCGCCCGAAGCUCCGACGAAGAUCACGUAGGUCGUGGCGUCUCUUUACGCCCGGAGAAGAUGAACAGUGUCGACAAGGGCACGCAUCUGGAAAAUCCAAAAAUUCGUGAGGAUAAUUUUGGAAAAAAAAAAGUGUGAACAGUGCGGGCGUGGCAUGCCGAAAAUGCCGAAAGCCCAAGGCAGGUCUCCCCCUGCCUUGGGCUUUCAGCCUUCAAAAUGCAAACUUUCAGCUAAGGAUCUUUAGAAAUUUUUUUCCCAAACGCCUGUUUUUAGCCCAAAGGGCUUUGGAAGCCCAAAGUAGCUUUGAAAAGUCGAAUCCAAACGCAGCCAUGUAGCACGGACACUCUCCGGAAGCCUUCGUGUCGUGUCCGACACUUCGACACGUGUUCGACAUGCUCCAACACGUCCCGACACGCUCCGACACGCUCCGACACGCGGUCAACGAGUGUCGAAAAAUCCAACAUGUGGUCAACUCUUUCCGACACGCUCCGACACGUGAGUCCAAAAUUCCGACACGCGAUUCCGACACGCACGAGGUCAAUUUUAAAAAUUUAUAAUACUUGAGGGGUCAAAAUAUAAAUAUACACAAAAAAAGUAAUAAAAGAAGUAAUAAAAUUGCUAUAAAUAUACACACAUGGGGUCAAUUUUUUUUUCAUUUUUAUUUUUUUAGAAUUGUUUUAUUUUUUUAAAAGUCUUUUACUCUGAAAGAAGUAAUAAAAAAAUGCUAUAUAUGAUAAAUAAAUAAAUUUAAAAAUAUCAUUUCAGCAUUUUUCUUUAAACAAUGUUUUUUUCCUCUAAGUUUUGUUUAUUAUUGUAACAAAUUAAAAUAAUGAAUGAUAUUAUUUAAUAUUUUUUGUGUAAAUUAAUUCUAGGCUAUUUUUUUUAUUAUUUAUUUAUGUAUUAUAUAUAAAAAUAUAUCUAAUAUAUAACGUGUCGGAACGUGUCGAAAUUCUCUAUUUUUAAAAAAUGACGUGUCGAUGUGUCGUGUCGUGUCAUGUCACGUGUCACGUGUCCGUAUCCGUGCUACAUAGGUAGUAGGAUGUGGCCCAAUAGUUGGGUUAGAUGGAAAGCCAAUUGUGGGCUGGUUUGAGCUUGGUUUAGAAUAAGUUGGACUUGGUUUUGUUGUGACUAAAGAGGGAUCAAGAAUGCCCAAUCCUCAAUGGAGUUGCCCUCAACAGAUAGAUUUAGAGAUAUUUACUUGAAAGAUGUUCCGAAUUAGUACCCUUAGAAGACGACCUGAACACAUCAUCCAAUAGGUAAUCUAAGAUGGUACAUCAAUUUCAAGCGCAAGCUUUCCUAAGCCUAUAACUCAUGACAUUAGAAUUAUCAUUAUAAAUUCAAAUUAACCUUACAAAAAUCUACGUGAGGAGGCGCCAUUAGACAAUUAAGGUCGGUUGAAAACCAAUUGAGACAUGGGAGUGUCAUCUCAAUUUCUAUGGAACAAGAUAUUCUAAAUUCAAUCUCCGAUAGAGUCGCCAAGUUACCGCGGCCUACCCUUGAGGGGCCACUCUUGGGGAAACAAGUUUAGAGGAUCGGCAUCCUUAGAAGACGACUUAAAGACAUUAUCUAAUUAGUAAUCUAAGACGGUCUAUCAAUUUCAAGCAUGGGCUCUCUUAAACCUAUACCCUGCGUGACGUUGAAUUUUUCAUUAUAAGUUCGAAUUAACCCUACAAAAUUCUACGUGAGAAGUCGCUACUAGUCAAUUACGGUCAGCUAUAAACAAACUGAGAUGUGGGAGUGUAGUCUCGAUGUUUACAAAACCAAAAAUUUCAAAUUCAGGGACUUGAUUACAUUAUUUUUACAACUAAUAUCAUCUUGGUACCUAAACUUGAUUAUAUUGUCAAUUAAAGUGUUUUUUAAUGCAUUAUUUUCAUUAAAUAUAAGGUUAAUCCACUAAAUGUUCAUACGAUAUUUUUAUUGAAAUCCUAAUUGUGCUAAAAGUGAAAACAACAACUAAUGUAUGUAAAUUGCGCAGUCAAGUGUGAUCAAAUUUAAAUGGAAUAAUAGCAAUCUAAGAUUAUCUCUGAAAAAAAAAAACAAUACAAUACAAAUCCCUAUUGUAAAAUUCCAUUUAAGACCCUAAAUAUCUAGUGGAAUCAAUUAAGGGCAAUUUUCUGAACAUUUUUCCAUUUUUUCUUUUUUAAUUAUUUUUCUCGAAAUUUUUAUAUUUUUUUCCUACUUUACUGAAUCUGUAGAUUUUUAUUUGUUUAUUUCAAAUUUUCUAUUUUUUUAUAAUUUUUUAUGAUUUUUUAUUUUUUUAUUCCAAAAAAUUACCUUCGGACCGAGUUAGCAGACCCGGCCCGACUCACUGACAAGGACCUUUAAAUUGGGCCAGGCCUUCCGCCCAGUCCAAUUUUCCUAAAAACGGCCCACAAUUCGGCCUACCGACCUGAUGAGCUCGAACUCUUACACUCUUACAGUAAUUAAAGCUCAAUCCCUCUUCAAUCAUGAUAAACGAAUGUCCAAUUAAAUCCAAACCAAGCCCAAACUAGCCCGCAAAGCUGGCUUUCGACCACCUUUCGACCAAACCCAACCAUUGGACCCGAUCCGAAUACCCGAAUCUGACCCGAUUAGGAUUAUGUCCGGAUUUUUAAAUACUUUUCUUUUUUUAUUUUAUCUGUUAUUUUUUUUCUAUUUUUUUAAUUUCUCUCUCCUUAUUUCCUAAUUCCUUUUUUUUUGCCCUCUGUUCAUCUCCUUCCCGAGCCUUCUUCUCCACUUAAAGACGUCCUUCACCAAACCACCAUUUUUCUUGUUGAGCUCCCACCAAAGCUCAGGCUUCCGCGGAAUGCUCUCCAUCAGUCGACUACUCCAGCCGACGCUAUAUUACUACUGGCUUCUACGUCACCAGACCAUCUCCAACGAAGGAUUCUUUAAGAUCGCGCGUGACCGAAGCCUAACAAAUUCUAGCAUAAACAACGGGCAGAUGCAUAUUAAAAGAUGAGAAAUGGACUAACUACGUGGCCUCGAAUUGUUGGCUCCACUGGCGCGGAAAAGGUCUCCUGUGGAGAGGGGUGCACGACCGACUUAAUGAUGUGCGAAUACAACGGAUGAAGCACAAAGACGAGGGAAAGACUUUAGCGGGAUUGAUUAAUUCAAUAAGAGGGGAAUUAAGUUUGGACUAAAACGAUAUCAAAUAAGCAAAACAAAAAUAGGCCACUUAAGCUUGGCCUUUAGUUUGAUUGAUUUCCAAGUGGUUCUUGGCCUAAUAACGAUAAACAAGAUCUUAAAUCAACACUAUUAGCAACAAAUCACCCUCACUUCACUAGGAUUUUCACAAAAUCAUCAAUCAAUUCUAAAACCUCAAUCUCGGCCAAAUAAGGAUGGAGUAGGGCAUUCGGAGAGGAGAGUUUACUCGAUCGUGACUGAAGAUAAAAGCUCAAGGUAGCUGAGCUUCACAAGGUCAUUGGUUAGUGAACAACUUCAAUAGGCUUCUUCGUCAUUUAGCCAUGAAGAAGCCAAUGGUCGGCGAUCAAGAAUUUCAGCCUAUUCCGGACCAAACUCAGCAAAAACCCCUACCAAAUCUUCUGGGUUUGGUUGAUUUCUAGGAAGAUUCUCGUGAUUUUAUAUUUCUCUACUUCUCACCAACAUCUGGAAAAAAACGAGCGCUUCUCCCCUCUAGCGUGCUCGCUCUCCUUCUGUUCUAUUUCUCGAUCGAUCGUACCCCUCUAACUCCCUCACAUAACAAACUCGGCCUCUAAAAGGUUUUGAAUUUGCUCACCUCACUUGCUUGCUCACUGUGCUUCGCUCACGGACCAUUCACUCUCACCUUUGCUCAAUCAUAGUUCCAGGCUCACGAGCGGGAGCGUGGGAAGGCGGGAAAGAACAGCGUGUGUGAGGGAGGAGAAAAGAACUAGGGGGCCAGGCCCCUUGGGCCAAAAAGAAAUAAAACUUGGCAUUGGAAUAACGAGCUUUGGUCAAUCAUGGGCAUGGGCUAAAUAAAACCAGCCCACCCAAUUUUGCUUUAUUUAUUUUCAUUCUUUCUUAUUAUUUAUCAAAAAUUCUCUACUCUUUUAUUCUUAUGGCCCUAUUUAUUCAUGUUUAGUAUUAUUGCACUAAUUUUGUAUUUUUUCUUUUUUUACUGUAAUUUUUUUGUCGUUUUUAUCAUCUUUAUUUUUUUUAUUUAAUAAAACAAUGUGUCAAUAGUAUGCCGUGAUGUAAUGUUAAGGAAUGAUUAUUAUCAUGUGAAUGUACAGUAGUGUAUUUGUCAUUGCUAAUAUAGAGGACACUAGUAAUGAAUGGGCUAUGACAAAGAAUAUGUAUGACUCUGUCCCCCCAUUAUGAGUUGGUGAAGAUGUCGCGAUGCCUUGUUAAUUGAGAUGGUCCUAGCUAGUGAUAAGUAUGGAGUCACCUGCGUGUGUUUGUCAACUUCAUAACAAGUGUGAAUUUGCCUAUGUAUAUUCAUGCGUGUAGUGGUAAACUAUUAAGUAAUACUAGUGUAUCAUAAAAUAAUAUGCCAUUUGCUUGUUUUUGAGUAAAUGAUCUUGUAAUGUACAUAUCAUGACAGUAAAGAUAAAGCAAUUGCUUAUGCAUUUGUCAUGCAUAAUUAUUUUGCAAUGCUUGAACUCAUAUUAUUUGCUAGUUGUUUAUUAGUACCGGGAUAAGUGAUAAGAUAACAUUCUACGUUAGACUUAGAGAUUUCAUUUAUUAGGCCUUAGCUCGCUCCUUUUUUUUCAAAUUUGUAGGAUGGUUCCCCUAGACAUGGAAAUGGAGGGGAGGAAAUGAUGUUGGAGACCAUCAAUCCUUGAGUUAAAUGGUGGUUUGGUUAGUAUGGCUGUAAUAGUGUUAAGUGACAUUGACCUUUUCUAGGAUUAUGUAUUUUGUUGUGAUAGUAACUACGGAUGUUUUUAUAAAGUUAGAAAAAUGUAUAUUAUCAAACUCAUGCAAUUUUCUUGCAAGAGAUGUACUGAAAAUUAUAUUAUGCUUCCGAAUGCGUAAUUAUAAUUAAAAAAAUAUAUGGCCAAAGAGAACAAGUGUCGCUCAUGAUUUUCUGGGGCAUCACACCUUAAAUUUAAUCAAUGUGUUCAAAUGGGUUCUCAAGUGAAAAAUGCUAGAUAAAUUCAAAGGCUUUUUUUUUUCUUUUUGGGACUACUCUUUCAUUGCCUUUUUUUUGGCUACCAUUUUCAUGGCUUGUAUUCUAAGAACCCAUUUCUCUCUUCUUGCCAUUAUUUCCUGUAACCUAGCUUAGAAAUAUCAACCGGAUUCGUCUGACUGGAUUAAACGGAAAGCCAAGGUGGUCGUCUAGAGGGACAAAAAGGUACAAAAAAUGCAUUAGAUUUAUUUAACUUAACCAAGUAUUUGUAUCCAUGAAAUCUCUAAUUUGCACAAUUAAUAUGUUCUCUAACAUUUUAUUUGGGUUUCUAAUCGACCCAUAAUAGAUUAGUGGUGAUUCCAAAUUAGAUUGAUUUGCUUGUUUAAUUAAAUAAAUCAAAAUCCCAAAAUUGCUAUUAGUACAAGCUUGGUAGAGUCCAUGCUAAGUGUUUAUUUCAUAGUCUAUUGGUUUUUCCUUGAUAGUUUGCCUUUAUAUAGGCUGCGAAAGUGUUUUCUUAAUUAAGUUUGGCUAAAUAUUUGAAUUAUGAAAUUGAAAAAGCAAGAAUGAUAAACCAAUACAACUCUGGAUGAGGUUCUUCUUUUAUUAUUGUAGAGAUCCUUAAGAAAAAAAUAUACGUAAACAGAAAUAUUGUAAUACUUACAAAAAGAGCAGAAAAUGUAACAAUAAUAUAGCAUAUUUUUCUAUUGAUUUAGCAAAUUUAUUGAAAUUAAUAACAUAUUAUAAAAUCUGAGCAAGAGUAUAAUUAUGAAAAUUUGUGAAUUAUAUCAAAUGACUGAUUUGACAUUAUUUUGGCAAGUUGAUGAUUAAAUUGAACAAAUUAAAAGUUUAAGAAUUAUAUUUAAAUAUUUUUAGGUCUAAUUUAAGAAUCAUAUCAAACAAAUUAAAAGUGUAAGGAUGGCAUUGCACUUCAAAUAUAAGGUGGGGAUUAUUAGUAUCAUUUUCCAUUAGGAAGACAAUGAAAAUUGAUAAUGUGAAAACCAAAAGAAACUUUUUUUUGGUUUAUAAAGAAAACAAAGGGAAAUGGAUUGUAAGUUUUGACUUCUUUGUCUUCUCAAGUGCAAGUUUUGUUGGUGCGGAGUCUCUUUUGCUGUAUAGGUUUCUUGGUUAAAAGUUAAUAUAUAUCUUACAUUUAACAAAAAAAAAUAAAAAAGGAAAUGGAUUGUGAGAAAUAUGAGGAUCAGUUAUUUUGAUUGCGAGAGAUCUCAACGAUAUCAACAGUCACUGCUAGCCACUCCCUUGACUGGUUUAUCUCCUCUCUUUGUCAUCAUUUUGUUCUUUUUUAUUAUUAGCCUACUUCUUUUUAUUAAUUAAAAUUUUGUUUCUUUAACUUUUUUUAAUAACUAAAAGCAAUCUCAUCAACCCGUUAAGCUAAGAGAGCGUGAGAAAAUUGGAGGAUCAAAUAGUUUUUACUUAAACUUCAUAGUCAAAGUCGUUGGCAAAUCAAAUUCGGCGUGUGGAGGAUCUGUUUUGAACUUGCUUUUAUUUCUUUUAUUAUUGUGGAGAUCAUUAAGAUAAGAUAUACGUAAAUAGAAAUAUCGUAAUAUUGAUAAAAAGAACAAAAAAGGUAACAAAAGGAUAGCAUUUUUUUUUAUUGAUUUAGCAAAUUAAUUGAUAAAAAAACAUAUUAUGAAAUCUGAGCAAUGGUGUAAUUAUGAAAAAUUGUGAAUAAUAUCAAAUGGCUUAUCAGUUGAUGACUAAAUUGAAGGUACUAAAAUUUUAUGGAUUAAGUGAAACAUUUUUAGGUUUUGUUCAACGAUCAUGUCAAACAAAUUAAAAGCGUAAGGAUGACAUUGCAUUUUAGACCGAAGUUGAAGACUAGCGAUGUCAUUUUCCAUUAGGAAAAUAAUGAUUAUUGAUCAUUUGACAAUUAAAAGAAACUUUUUUUUUUUGGUUAAAAAAAUAAAACAAAGGGAAAGUUUAAGGGAUUGUGAGAGAUCUCAAUUGAUUGAGAUCGAGGUACUCUUUUCUUAUUUUUAUUUUUUGGAUCGUGAAAAGUAGUUUCAUUAAUUAUUAGGGAACUAAGCCUAUAUUCAGUGGUAUUCGCUCUUGAUAGAAUAUGUCACAGCUUUAGUGUUUAUCCACACUAAUCUAUCUUCCUUUAGAAUCGGAUUUAAAGGAAUAACGGUGAUUUUCUUCACUAUCUAUUCAUCAAAUAAUUUUUGCAAAAGAGCUUCAUUCCAUCUUACUUCAGGUUUCAGGAUCAAAUCAGCAAUCCUUGUGGGAUCUUCCCUAUUUGCAUGUCCUUCCAAUACUCCCAUUUUCAACCACUUAUCCUCUCUAAUUUUAAUUUUUCCCCAUUCCAAAUAGUCCACGUCACAUUAGGCAAAAUGCAAUCUCAACCAAUUCGUAUAUUCUGCCAACCCCAUGAGGGGCAUAUUCCUUUCCUUGCUUUCUAGAAAUCACUAGCUGAGAAAUAUAUUCCCUUAAGUAUUUGGCUCCAAAGCAUGGAAGGUGAAUUCAACAAUUUCCAAGCUUAAUUCCCUAACAUUGCCUUAUCGAAGGUAAUGAGGUCUUGAAAGCCUGAUCCAUCAACCUCUUUACUGAUUUCGCUUCCAUUCAUACCAAUUGAUUGCCUACCAAGGAACUCCAAUCCUACAAAAUAGAGUUAAUCCUUCAGUAAAGGAAUAAAAAAUUUCUAAGUUUUUUUUUCAUCACCAUCAUGACCUAGAAUUUACCUUCGGUUUCUAACGAGCAUCCCUAAGAAGAAAACACGCCCCAAAUCUCAAAAGACCAGGAUUCGAUUUCCGCUAUUAAUGUCACCAAGACUCAAGAACAAAUUACUUGGGCCCAAGAUGUGCAUUGGUAAAUCCUUCUGGCUUAGACAAAUCUAGGGCAACCCAUCCCGGGCUAGCCCGUAAUGGGCUAGCCUAUGGUGGGCCAUCCUUACCAGGGGCUACCAUUUUAGAUGUAGCCCAAUCCAUGGUUUUUCAGGCUGAGCCCAAGUGCAUCAUCGCUAGGGAUUCAAGGCCAACAAGGCUUUGUCUGACCCGAUGGCAGCCCACCAACUGUAAACGGGUUAAGCAUGACCAGCGGAUUGGAUCCAAUAAAUGCGAGGCAGGCAACCGGAUCAAACAAACCGGGUAUGGGAACAAAUCCGUACUCGACUUUCCUCAAUGCAGGUCAAGGAACCAGGUCAAACAAUCUCGGUAUGGAAGCAAAUCCUUACUCGAGAUUUUCGCUCGGAUUUUUACUGUAUCCAAUCGCGGCCAUCACCAAUUGUCUAGAAGUUGGCAACCCUCUAUUCGUGUUUACUGCUGACGGACCAGAACUACGGCUCAUCAGACAACAAUUGUCCAGGCCGAAGAACUAUUAUAGGUGGUUGCAAGAGUUCUGGUGAGCCCUUGUGACAAAUGAUAAAGAUAGGUUCCUUGACGGAACUGUCCUGAUCCCCUUGGACGAGCGCCUGGCUUGACACUGGAGAAUAUGCAACCAACUCAUCCAUACUUGUAUCGGGAAUUGCAUAUCUUUAGAAGUCGCAGACAGAAUUCCACCAAUAGAGGAUGCAAAAAACAUGUGGGAAAAUAUCAAAGAAAUGUAUGGUAAACUGGAUCGAGCAAAUAUUUUUUUCCCUCAUGCAAGAACUCAGCGAGUUUAAGCAAGGGAAUAUGAUGAUCAUAGCUUGCUUUAACAAGCUACUGUUACUGUGGAAUGACCUUGAAGCGGUCGAAGAAAAGCUCAAUGGAUCAAAAUCAACGCUUAAGAGUACAAAUCUAUUAAGGAAAGGGAGAAAGCCACACGAUUCCUUUUGAUUUGAAACAAAUCUUACCUUACUUUUUGUUCAUAGAUUCUGGCCAUGUACCCAGUACCGCCAAUCGGCCGAAUUUUUCAAUUGGUCGUCUAGAGAAAAGCCAGCGACUUGCGUCACUAGAACACACGAAGGGCGAUGAAAGCAUGCCCUCGCAGCUCGUGGUGAAUGGUGAGAGGCAACCAACGAAACCCUAAGCCAAGAAAGGGAACGAAGAGGCACGCUAGGGCUAGGGUUUGGCAAAGGAGACGCGCAUGGCCUUAAAAGAGACGGAACGAGUGGACCAAAUUGCGUGCAUGGAUUGAAUGGCUCACAGGGGUUCGAUUAUGUAAGUGGAACGAACGAUGGACAAUAAUUUGUGAUUAAAGGGAUGGAUGGCUAGAUCUUUGCCACGUCAUCAAGAAAUUUUGGGCAAAAUUCAAAAGGGAAAGAUAAAUUAUUUUUUGAAUAUUGUAAAUGACCUCACCAACGAUUGAUAGCUGUUGGAAAUUACAUGGAAAACCUGGAAAGAAAUGGAGAAAGAAAGAAUUUUCAACAGCUUACCAAGUCACUGGACCCACUAAGUGCUUACCAACCUAUUACGUAUGGACAAUAUCAAUAGCUGAUGCAGGCACUGCAAAAGUUGGAUACUUCCAACAAAGGAGGAAGUUUUUCACGUAUCUCACAUUGCCUAAUUAAUUCUAUUUCAAGAAAGGCAUGGAUAAUUGACUCGGGAGCAAGUGAUCAUAUUAUCUAUGAUAAAUGAUUUUUUUCAAGUAGGAAUGAUGAAUCUUCCUAUUUCUGUGCAAUUACCAAAUGGAAAUGUCUUUCAUAUCACUAUGACAGGAACAAUCAAUCUCAAUCCUCAGAUCACUCUUUAAAAUGUCCUUUAUGUUCUAGAAUUCCAAUUUAACCUUAUUUUUAUGUCGAGAGUUUGCAAAGAAAACUCAUGUCGGGUAUUCUUCGAUAUUUACACUUGCUUUUUUCAGGACCUUUCAACUGGCAAACUGGUGGGCUUGGGUAGUCUUUCUGAAGAACUAUAUCUUUGGACCGAUUUUUCAAGUAAUUUCAAUUUAUCCUGCAUUUCCUUGAAUAAGCUCUCAUUGUGUAACAUGACUACCAAUGAUAAGCACUUCAUUAUGCAUUUGAGAAUGGUCACAGUGCCUCAUUUCAUUAUUCUCUAUGUCCCAUAUGUCCUCUUGCAAAAUAGUCACAGAACCCAUUUCCAUCAAGUAAUACUCGUGCCGGUGAUAUUCUUUCAUUAAUUCGUGUGGAUGUUUGGGGACUUUAUCAUAUGACAAAUCAUGAUGGGUCCCGUUACUUCUUCACAAUUGUGGACGAUUAUUCUCUUGCCACGUGGAUUUUUUUGAUGCAGUCUAAAAGUCAAGUUUUCUCCCACUUAAGAAUGUUCAUUGCACUAUCCAAGAAUCAAUUUGGAAAAUUCAUUCAGUGGAUUUGUACUGAUAAUGGGAGAGAAUUUUUCAACCAUAUUGCACUUUGCUCUUUUCAUCUUAUGGCAUCCAGCACGAAAGCUCAUGCAUAUACACGCCACAACAAAAUAGGGCAAUCGAGCGCAAACAUUGCCACCUUUUGAAACAUCGCCACUUUUUAGAAGUUGCAUGUGCGUUGAAAUUCCAAGCAUCAAUUCCAAAAAAUUAUUGGGGAGAUCGUAUCAUUACGGCAAAAAUCAACUGCAUGCCCACUCGGAUACUUAAUGGGUAAACUCCCUUUGAAUUACUAUUUGGGAAGAACCCGAAGCUGAAUCAUCUAAAAGUUUUCGGCUGCUUAUGUCAUGCCACCACAGUAGGUCCUCAGGAAAAAAAUGAGUCCUCGCACUUGAUAGUGUAUAUUCAUGGGAUAUCCCAGUCUACAAAAGGGAUAUCGGGUUCUUGAGCUAUCUACAAAGGAAUUCUUCGUAGGUAGGGAUGUUGUUUUUCAUGAGAACAUUUUUCCAUUCAGUGAAAGGGCAUCUUCACAUGAGGAUUCGAGGAUAAUGACCAAUCCUCAUAAUUUCUUAUUUGAAUGAGAAUUAUCUCAAGAUCUUGAUUAUAUUCCACUAGCACCUCCAACAAAUGUUCCUUCUUUUCCAACGACAAUUCUAGCAACAGCUCCUAUUUUGGAUAAGAACUAGAGUUCAAAGAAAGCUGUGGAAAACUUAUUAGAAGAAUUUUCUAUUGAUGAAGAAGUUCAAGGUAUCUCACUAACACCUUCUAGUGAAAUAUUGCAUUCUCCUCCAAGAGCCGAUCUUCCACGACGUUCCGAUCACACUACACGACCAUCAACCUAGACAAAAGAUUAUAUUUGUGCCACUCUCAUUUUACCAAGUAUUUAAUACCCAAUGUCAUCUUAUAUUUCCUUUCAUAAACUUUCAUUAGAACAUAGAUGCUACAAUAGUUGCAUAUCAAAAGAUAGGGAACUAUCUAGCUAUAAUGAGGCACCCACUGAUCUGCGGUGGCAGAAGGCUAUGGCAGCAGAGUUACAUGCCCUGAUUGAUAAUCAAACCUGGGAUCUUGUCUCAUUGCCUCCUAAUCAAAAACCAAUUGGCUGCAAAUUAGUCUACAAAAUUAAAUAUCGUGCUAAUGGUUCCAUUGAACGAUACAAGGCUAAAGGCUUCACCCAGCAAGAAGGUUUUGAUUAUCACGAGACGUUCUCUCUUGUUACCAAAGAUGUCACAGUCCGUUCAUUCUUGACAGUUGCAGCUAUUCAUGACUGGCUACUACAUCAAAUGGAUGUGCACAAUGCUUUUCUUCACAGCGAUUUAGAUGAAGAAAUAUAUAUGGAUAUCCCUCAAGGUUUAUAGAGACAUGGGAGAAUAAAUUGUGUCAAAUGGACGUGCACAAUGCUUUUCUUCACGAUGAUUUAUAUAUAUAUAUAUAUAUAUAUAUAUAUAUAUAUAUCCCUCAAGAUUUACGGAGACAGGGGGAGAAUAGAUUGUGUGGUCUUUGUAAAUCUCUUUAUGAUUUGAAACAAGUUUCCAAGCAAUGGUAUGCCAAAUUUAUGAAUGCUCUCACAACAACAGGCUUCAAUUAGUUCAAAUAUGACUAUGCUCUAUUCACAUGGACUCAAGGUAUGUCAUCUAUUUACUUGAUGAUAUAUGUCGAUGAUAUUUUCAAUAUGGGAAAUGAUAAAACCGCCAUAGAGACCUUCAAGGGAAUAUAUGCAUUCUAUUUUCACAUAAAAGACAUAGGAGCAUUUAAAUAUUUCCUUGGAAUUGAAAUUGCCCGAUCGACCAAGGGAUUUCUCUCAAUCAGCGAAAUUUUAUACUGGAAAUUAUAUCGGAAGCAAGUUUAUCAUGGUGCAAACCGGUUGUUAUUCCAAUGGAGCAAAACACCAACUUAACUAUGACAAAUUAUGAUGCAGGGAUAUCUCAAAAUGAUGAUCCUAUACUCAGAGAUCUGUCAAGCUAUCAGAAGCUCGUUGGAAAACUUAUAUAUCUAACUAUGACCAGGCCUGAUAUAUUUCAUGCAGUACAAACACUCAAUCAAUUCAUGCACAGUCCAAAGUAAUAUCAUUUGAAUGCUGUCUUGAAGGUUGUCAAAUAUUUAAAGAAGUGUCCAAGACUCGGGAUACUCCUGUCUAGGAAAUGUAACAUGGAGAUAACAACAUAUUGUGAUGCAGAUUACGCGACUUGCCCCAUGAGCCAAAGAUCCAUCACCGACUAUUACAUUAAAUUGGGAGAAUCGCUACAUUCAUGAAAAACCAAGAAACAACCAAGACUCGGGAUACCCCUGUCUAGGAAAUGCAACAUGGAGAUAACAACAUAUUGUGAUGCGGAUUACGCAACUUGCCCUAUGAGCCAAAGAUCCAUCACCGACUAUUGCAUUAAACUAGGAGAAUCGCUACUUUCAUGAAAAACCAAGAAACAACCAACCGUGUCAUUAUCUUUAGCUGAAAUAGAGUAUCAAGCUAUGACAAAAACCACCUGUGAAAUAGUAUGGAUACAAGGCUUGCUUAAGGACCUUGAGGUACAAGUGAAAGGGCCAACCAAGCUAUUCUACGAUAUUGAUGUGACUCUCAAAUUUGCAGCAAAUCUUAUAGUGCACGAGAGAACUAAACAUAUAGAGGUGGAUUGCCACUUUACUCGAAAAAAAAAUCAAGAAUGAGUAAUUGAGACAAGAGGAAUUGGAACCACAGAACAACCUGCGGAUAUCUUUACCAAACCUUUGUGCCAAAGAUAACAUGCAUAUCUAUUGAGCAAGCUAGACGUUUUGGACAUCUACAAGCCACCAGCUUGAGGGGGAGUGUUGGAAGAUAUGCUCGUGAUAUUUGACAUGGGAUUCAUUCGGGUUAUGAGUGUAUACAAAAUCAAUUAAGGAUUAGAUUCAGAUUUAGAUUGAUUCAUAGAAUACAUUAUUUCCAUUUAUUAGGUACAUCUUAUACUAUAUCUAUAGAGCAUUGUACAUUAGAAAUUAUUGAAGAGAAAAUUACGGAAAAAUCUUCCCAAAAUUUUAUCAUCUUUAGUCAUGAUUUCCUUUGCCUUCCUCAUUCUGCUUGUCUUCUUUCAAUUUCCCUGUUUUCUCAAUCUCUAGAACCAUCUACUUAGUCGUCACAUUUUUCCUCAAGUUCGAUGAGCACCCAUUCCUAAAGAAAACUCCUGAUUUAUUUAAAUUUACCGACUGACCAAAAGCAAAGCAAUACUAAUUCAAAAUACUAGCACUAUUUUGAUGCUCACUAAUCUUUCCAUCCAAAAAAAAAUAUUGAAUCAUUCGCAAAGAGAAAAUGAGAUUGAACAGAGUACGAUCUAGUCAAUUUAAUCCCCUGGAGUGUACCAUCCUCAAUAGCUCUUUCAAUCAUUAAUGAAAGUACAUUUGCAACGAAGAUGAACAAAUAUGGAGAUAUUGGAUCUCCUUACAAAAUACCUCUUCAAGGUUUGAAGUAGGGGUGGGGCUCUCCAUUGAAUUUAACAUUGAAAGAAACAAUUGUGACACAUUGCAUCACCCACGUUACCCAUUUCUCAUGAAAGCUCAUUUUUAGUGAACAAGCCUCUAAAAAGUCCCAUUCUAUUCUAUCAUAUGCCUUUUAUAUAUCAAGCUUCAAUAUAGCUUGGAACUUCUUUUUACUUGCAACUACUCUAAAAUUGUGCAAAAUCUCCUAAACAAUGAAUAUAUUAUCUUGAAUUUGAUGGCCACUUACAAAGGCACUUUACUUUACGCAGAUCAUUUGAAAGUGAUGAUUUUAGUCUAUUGGCCAGUACUUAAGAUAUUAUUUUGUAGAUUAAAUUACAUAGGCUAAUGGGACAAAACUGUUCCAGCUUUUCUAGGUUGGGUUCUUUGGGAAUAAGUAUAAUUUGGGUUUUGUUCAUUUUAGCAUUUAAACAUCCAAUGUUAAAAAAGGAAGUUACCUCUUGAAAGACGUCAUGUUGAAUGUCCUUCCAAUGAUGUUUAAAAAAUUGUCCACUUAAGUCGUCAAGACUAGGGGCUUUAAGAGCUUCCAACUGACUUACGGCUUCUGAGACUUCCUACAUGGUGACCUUAGCCGUCAACUCUCGAUUCAUAUUUCCCCCAUUAAAGUUGGGAUCUAUUCAACAAUAAGGUGGAAGUUCUUUUAUCCUACUGACAUAUAUAAAUUCUUGAAGUAUUCCACUAUCAUCUGCUUUAGAACAUUAGGCUCAAGAGUUCAUUCCCCAUUUGCAUUAACUGGCAUAGAUAUUCUAUUUCGAGGCCUCUUUUGAAUAGUUGUUACAUGAAAAAAUUUAGAGUUUUUAUCCCCAUUUCAACUGGCUAAUUCCGGAAUGCGUGCCCCAAUACAUUUCCUCCCUCUUCCACAAUAAACCAAUUUUCUCUAUCAAUUUUAAUAUCUUUUCUUUGCUUUGUGUGAUAUCUAGACUAUUUGUUAUAUUUUGAAUUUUCAACUUUAGUGCCUCAAUUCUUUUGUGAGCAUUUGAGAAUUUUUUCCUACUCUAGUAUGCAUGGGUUCUGGUCACUUCUUUCAAUUUUAUUAGUAAAUCAGUUCUUUCUAGCUUAGGAGAAAGCCAAACCUCCUUAGCAAUUUUUCCAUACUCCUUGUCCUCUAGCCAGUAUGCUUCAAAUCUGAAUUCUUUUACUCUUUUCACUGGUUGUGGGAAUACUUUCAGCAAGAUAGGACUAUGAUCUGACCCAAUUGCAGGUAAAGCAAAGACUAUUGCCUUGGGAAAAACACCCUCCAUUCAAUUGUGCAUAAGAUCCUAUUUAGUUUCUUCUUGACAAAUUCCUCCCAUUCUCUAUUGUUAGCCCAAGUGCAAUCAUACCAUUUACUUUCUACUUCCAUAAUAUCACAAUUAUUUAGGAAUUUCAUAAAUGCUACUAGCCUAAAAUUUUCAGCUUCCCUCCUUCCCAUCUUCUCCCAAGAAUAAAGUAUUUCAUUAAAAUCCCCUAUACACACUCACGGUAGAUGAUUUAAAUGUUUAAUUUCUUCUAUCUCCUUCCAUAAUAUAGUCUAUCAUUAAAUACAUCGGGUGCAUGUAUACAAGUUAUUUGUUUACAUAACUACUGGUCUUUCAUUCACAUACCAUAUCAAUAAACUUAUCAAUACUUUGCUCGAUGGAAAUUGCUACCUGGUCGGUCCAGAAAAUAGCCAAUCCUCCAGUUAUACCCAUUGGGUUGACUAUAAGGUUGCCAUAAUACUUCAAUCUCUUCAUUAUGCGCAACACCAUACUUUUCCCGUUUUUAGUUUCCAUAGGAAAGAUCACCACGGGUCUAUCCCGAGCCACAAGAGCUUGAAGUUAUUAAACUGUCAAGGGUGUGCCCAACGCUUGACAGUUCCAACUAACAAGAUUCAUUUGUAACCCAAUGGCUUAUUAGAGCUAGCCACCCAAGCCUAUUCAUGUACUUCAUCAGCCAUAUAAACUUGGAUUUCCAUGAGUUGCAUCUCAUCUAGAAUCUUGAUACUAUUAUUCUUAUUUUCAUAAGGAGAGUAACAUCUGGGUCUUUUACUUGCUAGUGUUGCCUUUAUUUGCUAUCUCCUUCUAAAAAUUUCGGAAUCUAGGGUCAGUAAAUAUUGGUUUUCCUUCUUUAUCUUGUGCAGGGACAUUAGACAGAGCAUCAAAUAGGUUUAUAUGCUGGCUUGCCAAAUGUUUCUCAAUGUAGGAUCCCGACAUCUUCUCUUUGCUCUUAUCUAAAUAAGUAGAUGCAUUCAACUUUGUAGAGUGGAUUGCACAAUACUGAUAAGGAACAAGUUAACCAGAAUUCCUUGGAGAUUAAGGUACAAAUUCAUCUUCCAUGAUAUCCUCAUCCCCCUCUUUAUAAAUAACUUCCAAAAAGGGUUGUGAUCAUUUACCUCAGCCUUGAGCCACUGUCCAAAUCGAUUUUCUUUUUUAGAAAGGAUUUUCUCAUCAUCAUAUGGUAUCUUUGUGCAAUAGCUAGCAUAGUGCCCCAUCUUCUCACAAGAAUAACAAAAAUUGGGUAAUCUUUCAUACUUGAAAUCUAACUAGCUUCUUUUUCCUGCAAGGUUGAUAAUGGUUCUAGACAAAAGUGGCUUGGACAAAUCAACAAGUGCUCGCGCCUUCCCUAGUUUUACUAUUGUUGUUCCUCUAGUUUCAAUCCUAAUUUCAAGAACCUCCCCCAUCUUCUCCAUAGUUUUACCUAUCAUAUUUUCCUAGCACCACUCGUGGGGUAAACCAUGAACUUGAAUCCAAAGAGCACAUGAUUUAAACUUAAUAACAAUGAAGAGGUGUAUUCGGUUCUCAUACUUUAAGCAAUAGCAAGUUGUUUGCAAAAGAGCAAGGUCCCAAAUCUAAGACCAUUUUCAAGUCAUUUUCUGAUUUAAAGGUAAAUACGGACAACCCAUUCUUCAUUGAUGUGAUUUCCACUGAAUCUAUAUGCUGAGCUUUCUUCAUUGUAUUUUGAAAAGCAUGAAAGCUAAUAUUGGGGUUUUGAUAAAGCUGACCAAAUAAGGUGAGUUUGCAUUCUUUCACUCUUGCAUCCGAUCGUUCUUCAUUUGUGAUGAUGAUUUAUUUAUUAGAUCAUAAAUUGCCUAACCUUCAAUAAAGCGAAACCAAGCAAACUUCCUACCAAUAGCAGUCCUCCAUUGUGGCAAGCCAACCAAGGAAUCCCAGUAGAAAACGAGAAGCAAGUAUUAAAAGGGAAGAAGAUACUACAUUAGGGUGAAGAUACUAAAGGCAUUAGGAUGAAAUGGGGCAAUACUAUCCCACUAUUUGAGUUAGGGGUGUGCAAUAGGACCAGGUUUACCUGGAAUCAGACCGGCCCACCUGAAAAACAGGGUCGAGAACCGGUUCCUAUUAAAAUCAGUCUGGAAAUCGGUUCCAAAAUUCGGAACCAGUUUAAAUCGAUUCGGGAAUCGGGUCCGAUUGAUUACCCACCCGGGAACCAAUUCCCGGACCGAUUUUGGAAUCAGUUUGGGAACCGGUUUUGUAAGUAUAGGUUCAAAACCCUAUUUUUUCCCCUUAUUUCUAUUUUUACUCCCACAAUCAUACAACGUUUUUCCUUUUAGCUCUCUCAAACAUGCACGACACUCCUCCUUCGUCGUUUCUCUUCCUCACUUGCUUCCCUCCCUCAUUGGCUCCCUCUUGCACGAUUCAAUUGACAGACGGUGUUCAUUGCCGCCAAAUUCUUGUGUACCAUGUGGAUUGGCUCACUUAAUUUCUCUUUUGUAUGAGGAUUUAUGUUUGCAUAAAUGAUUAACUUCAUGUAGUAGUUGUGGAAAUAAAACUAAUAUUUGACCCAUGUUUGUUACUAAUUAUUUAUCUUAUGAUUUUAUUUAUUACAAUUAGCUGUGUGAAUCCUUAAUUUUUCGUUUAGUCAAAAAGUUCAUGUAUCUAUUUAUCAUAAAUGCUUGAUGUUUCGAUAUAAAUUAGGAGGAUUACAUUAUUUUCUCGAGUAUUAAUAUAAAAUUCGAAAUCGUAUAGGAUAUUGAGAGAUUGCAAAAUAGGUUCCAAUGGAAAUAGGAUUAACCUUGGAACCGGACUGAAAAAACAUGAUGGAUCGGGUAUAGGGUCUAAUACAAAUAGAGUCGGGUAUAUGAUCCAAAAAAGGGAAACAAGUUAUAACAUGGUCCAGUAUAGGGUCCAAGUCUAGACCCUACCCACCCUCCCAAUCACCCCUAAUUUGAGUCAAGGAGAUCCAAGAAGCUGGAGAGGGUUUAGGGUUUUGAGCCGACGCACGAACCCCUGGAGUGCCUUAACUUUGACCAAAGGGACACUUAAGUGCCAUAACUUACGAAAGGUACACUUAAGUGCCAAAAUCGGAGUAAAAUGGAUCACUUAAGUGCCAAUCCGGCCAAAAUAUCGACAUGGCACUUUUCCGGCGAACCGAGCCCAAAACGACACCGUUUUACACGCUGACGUGGCCAAAACGACGUCGUUUUGGCCUGACGUGGCAAAAAAAUAAAUAAAAAUUAAUUAAAUUAAAUUUAUUUAAAAUAUUUAAAAAUAAUUAAUUAAAUUAAAGUUAUUUAAAAAUAAUUAAUUAAAUUAAAUUUAUUUAAAAAUAAUUAAUUAAAUUAAAUUUAUUUAAAAAUAAUUUUAACAUUAAAUUUAGUUAAAAUAUUUUAAAUUAAUAAUUUUAAAAUUAAAUUUAGUUAAAAUAUUUUAAAUUAAUAAUUGUAAAAUUAAAUUCAGUUGANNNNNNNNNNNNNNNNNNNNNNNNNNNNNNNNNNNNNNNNNNNNNNNNNNNNNNNNNNNNNNNNNNNNNNNNNNNNNNNNNNNNNNNNNNNNNNNNNNNNNNNNNNNNNNNNNNNNNNNNNNNNNNNNNNNNNNNNNNNNNNNNNNNNNNNNNNNNNNNNNNNNNNNNNNNNNNNNNNNNNNNNNNNNNNNNNNNNNNNNNNNNNNNNNNNNNNNNNNNNNNNNNNNNNNNNNNNNNNNNNNNNNNNNNNNNNNNNNNNNNNNNNNNNNNNNNNNNNNNNNNNNNNNNNNNNNNNNNNNNNNNNNNNNNNNNNNNNNNNNNNNNNNNNNNNNNNNNNNNNNNNNNNNNNNNNNNNNNNNNNNNNNNNNNNNNNNNNNNNNNNNNNNNNNNNNNNNNNNNNNNNNNNNNNNNNNNNNNNNNNNNNNNNNNNNNNNNNNNNNNNNNNNNNNNNNNNNNNNNNNNNNNNNNNNNNNNNNNNNNNNNNNNNNNNNNNNNNNNNNNNNNNNNNNNNNNNNNNNNNNNNNNNNNNNNNNNNNNNNNNNNNNNNNNNNNNNNNNNNNNNNNNNNNNNNNNNNNNNNNNNNNNNNNNNNNNNNNNNNNNNNNNNNNNNNNNNNNNNNNNNNNNNNNNNNNNNNNNNNNNNNNNNNNNNNNNNNNNNNNNNNNNNNNNNNNNNNNNNNNNNNNNNNNNNNNNNNNNNNNNNNNNNNNNNNNNNNNNNNNNNNNNNNNNNNNNNNNNNNNNNNNNNNNNNNNNNNNNNNNNNNNNNNNNNNNNNNNNNNNNNNNNNNNNNNNNNNNNNNNNNNNNNNNNNNNNNNNNNNNNNNNNNNNNNNNNNNNNNNNNNNNNNNNNNNNNNNNNNNNNNNNNNNNNNNNNNNNNNNNNNNNNNNNNNNNNNNNNNNNNNNNNNNNNNNNNNNNNNNNNNNNNNNNNNNNNNNNNNNNNNNNNNNNNNNNNNNNNNNNNNNNNNNNNNNNNNNNNNNNNNNNNNNNNNNNNNNNNNNNNNNNNNNNNNNNNNNNNNNNNNNNNNNNNNNNNNNNNNNNNNNNNNNNNNNNNNNNNNNNNNNNNNNNNNNNNNNNNNNNNNNNNNNNNNNNNNNNNNNNNNNNNNNNNNNNNNNNNNNNNNNNNNNNNNNNNNNNNNNNNNNNNNNNNNNNNNNNNNNNNNNNNNNNNNNNNNNNNNNNNNNNNNNNNNNNNNNNNNNNNNNNNNNNNNNNNNNNNNNNNNNNNNNNNNNNNNNNNNNNNNNNNNNNNNNNNNNNNNNNNNNNNNNNNNNNNNNNNNNNNNNNNNNNNNNNNNNNNNNNNNNNNNNNNNNNNNNNNNNNNNNNNNNNNNNNNNNNNNNNNNNNNNNNNNNNNNNNNNNNNNNNNNNNNNNNNNNNNNNNNNNNNNNNNNNNNNNNNNNNNNNNNNNNNNNNNNNNNNNNNNNNNNNNNNNNNNNNNNNNNNNNNNNNNNNNNNNNNNNNNNNNNNNNNNNNNNNNNNNNNNNNNNNNNNNNNNNNNNNNNNNNNNNNNNNNNNNNNNNNNNNNNNNNNNNNNNNNNNNNNNNNNNNNNNNNNNNNNNNNNNNNNNNNNNNNNNNNNNNNNNNNNNNNNNNNNNNNNNNNNNNNNNNNNNNNNNNNNNNNNNNNNNNNNNNNNNNCCAUGCCAACCCUCGUUAAGCCCAUCGGGCGUGUUCGGUUGAAACGAUAAUGGCGUGUGAGACCAUCAAUACUCCGCAAUCCGUCUCCCCCUCUUUCCUUUUUUUUAAAUUUUUUUUAAUAUUUCAAUUAAAUUUAAUUUUUAAAUUAUUAUUUUUAAUAUUUUAACUAAAUUUAAUUUUUUUAAUUUUUUUAAUUUUUUUAAUUUUUUUAAUUUUUUUAAUUUUUUUUACCACGUCAGCCCAAAAUGACGCCGUUUUUGCCACGUCAGCGUGCAAAACGACGUCGUUUUGGGCACGCUUUGCCGGAAAAGCUCUACGUUGGCAUUUUGGCCGAACUUUGGCCGAAGUGGCACUCAAGUGAUCCGUUUUUUUUUCGAAUGUGGCACUUAAGUGUACAUUUCGUAAGUUAUGGCACUUAAGUGUCUUUUUGGCCAAAGUUAUGGCACUUGAAGCGUUCCUUUGCCGUUUUGAGCCAUUGUUAAGGUUUAUAGUGAGCUACCACCAAAGGGUAGAAAGCAUCUCUUCCUAGCGAGAGAGAAUUUUUCAAUUGCCAGCGAUCUCAAUGAUACCAACGGUCAUCGCUAGCCAUGCCCUUGACUUAUUUGUCUCCUCUCCUUGUUGUCGUUUUGUUCUUUUUUAUUAGCCUACUUCGUUUUAUUAAUAAAAUUUUGUUUCUCUAAAUAUUUUAAUUUUUUUAAUGAUUAAAAGCAACCUCAUCAGCCCAUUAAGUAAGGGAGCGUGAAAAAACCGGUGGAUCAAAUAGCUUUUACGUGAAAGUCAAAGUCGUAAGCUAAUCAAAUUUGGCAUGCGUAGGAUCUGUUUUGUGCUUGCUUUUAUUUCUCUCGUUUAGCAAGUUUUGUAAUAUGAUUUGGCUUUGACGUUUAUAUAAGACGAAGCAUUUGCAAUCAUUGAACACAUAGAAGUGCUUUUACAUUUUAUUUUAUUUUUGCACGAUUUUUCAAAACUUGAAACUGGUUCAACUUUUUUUAGAAUUUUAUUUUGAGUAAAACAAAAGGAUAUCCUACUUCUCAUGCCCAACACAACAUUUCCUAUUAGAGCAAACUUCCCUUCUCUAAACACUUUAUUUGGCAAUUGAAGUUUGGGAUGGAAGUGAAGAGAAAACUAAAGAAAGGAAAUAGAGAUGAUUUCUUGCGUUGGGUGCGGAUUGAGGAGCGAUGACGUGCAGAGAAUUAGAAAUAAGAUUGACGAAAAAAUGAUUCUUUUUUUUUUUUGAUGACCGAGGGACCUCCGGAGAUUACUUUUUGGGGAUCACACGACCCUCCGGUAGCACCGGUGGGGCCUCGCCACAAGCCGCUGUAAACCUUGGUGGAUGGCCUAGUAAAUCACUCUUGGGAAUCUCACUUAAGUCGCGAGCAUUCGGAGAUUCAAACUCGUUCCCUUGGUGAUGAGGUAGUGAAGCCCAACCAUUACGGUUACCUACGGGUGGGUAUGAAAAAAAAAAUUGAUUCUUUAUCCUAUAAAUCUUUGACAUGUCAAUUGGUAUAUAUAAAUAUAACAUAUUAAUAAAAUUUGAUUAAAACUUAGAAUUAUACGCUUGUCAACUUAAAUAAGAUCCAGAAGUAUAUUUUCUUAAAUCAGAAGUCCAAUCCUUUUUUCCUGAGAAAAGGCUCUGUGAAAGUUCAUUUCUCUACAAGAUUUCGAGCAAGAACAUAUAGUCUGGGAUAGUCUUUGCACAACUGAAGAAUUGCAACUACAAUCAUUGGGAUACUUUCAUUCUCAACCGAGGCAUGCUUAUGACUAGCAAUUGUUUUUCAUUAAACAAGGGAAUUAGUAUCUUUUAGGAAGGCAAUGACAACGCCAGCAAAUGUUACAAGAUUUGCCUUCCCUUAUCGAGAUAUCGCUUCAUGUUUAAAUUUAUUUUAAACCAAUCUUAGUUUAUCUGAUCUUGAUGAGAGGUACACAAGUAAAAUCAUGUGUUAGAGUUAAGGAUAAAUUGAACAGCUAUAACAAUAGAUGACCUAAAGUUCAGACCCUAAACAAAGAGGAACGACACUCAGAAGCAAUCAUAAUCACAAAUUAACAUGGCGCAACUCAGAUUAUUACCUCCACAUGCACAGUUGCACUAGUAUAUGUAUAAGAAGAUCCUGAUGAAUGUGCAAACUUAAAUGGUUAAUUCUGUAUCUUUGUUUUCCCCCAAAAUUCUCAAGAAGUUUAUAGGAACUAGUCUUAUCUUAUACUAAUCGUCCUGCUUUUUUUCAUAUCUACAAGAAACAGAAAUGAUACACACUCAAUCAGCUAAUGAUCAAAAAGGCCUCUUCAGAUCCUUGAAGUCCAGCGAAUCAAUACACUCCAGCCUCUCUCUGUGCUGAUUCAACAGCUUCACCGCCUGAGUCGCCUUCUCUUUGGUCCUCUCUCCACACCCGACCUGAAGUAGCAACAGCAGCUUUUGGAAAGCACCCACUUGAAGAGCUUCAGCCAAAACCCCUCCACCAUCUUCACCACUCUCGCCGAUCGCCAUCAGCUUCCACAGAACCGAUACCGAGAACUCCGUGGCCAAAUCCGAGACCCGCAGCAACUUCUUCACCAGGACUGGCACGGCCAAUGAAUUGUCACGCACCGCUUCUUUCCCUUCUUCAUUGUCGCAGAUCCCGUCAAGAACCCCCAACGCCUUCUCAGACAUGCUCCGAUCAGCGUCCACGAGCGUCUCCACAAGCAAAGAGACCAAGCCCAUUUGAACGAAUCUUGAUAUGAUCAUGUCCUUAGCCGGAUGUGAUGACGUGACCAUGUGAUAAAUAACUAUCAAUGAAGAUCUCGUUGCCGCGGGGCAAAUGGGUUCCUUGACGACCUUGAACAGGGAUUCCAGGGCUCCUUCAAUCUCAGCCAAAGCCUCGACCUUCCGCUUGUCGGAUGAGACGAUCUCUCUCAGAACCAAGGCCGAGUUCCAUCCCGAGGACAAGUCGCUGUUCGUCAAAUACCCAACCAUACAGUGUAAAGAAGAGGGUGAUCCUAGGCAUGACUUGGCCUCUACGCUGAGAGGCAGCAUCAAUGUCAAGGCCGAUAAUAUCUCCUUCGAGAUGUCAUCGUUCUCUUCAUCCUGGCUCGAUGUCUCCGAGAAAGCUUCAAACGCCGCCGCCAAGACAGAACCCGUUCCGUUGGAUUUGAAGCACUUCUUGUUCCGUUCGCUUUCCUUGCUCAAGGCCUUCAUCUUCACCACAAGCUUCCUGCAAACACUUUGGUCUUUUAUCUUGCUAGCCUCAGAAAUCUUAUCGAGCAUCUCCACGACUUCCAUUGAGCUCACAGGGAUCCUCGGGGUCGGGAUCCGCUCUAUUCCAUGGGAUCGGUUCUCAACGCACCACUCCUGGAUCAUCCUCCUUAUCAUGUGGUUCGGCACAAGCUCGAGGCUCCCGAAGGCCCUGUUGGUGAUGGGGCACGUCCGGUUCCCAGCCUCAAUCCACAUCUCGAUGCUCUCACGGUCAUACGUGAUCCCGGACAAAAGGGUAACGGGGUCCUUCAUCAGGUCGAGUGAUAUCGGGCACUUGAACUCACUCGGGACGGUCAGCUCCACCUCCUCGAAGGCUUCGUCCCCCCUUCGGAGCUCCAGCUUGCGAGCACGCCGGGCAGCCAUCCGUCGCCUCCACGUCGAGAUCAUCUCUUAAGUCGAAAAGAAUGAGUUUAGGGAUAUCGAAUAUUGGAAUUAAGGAAUGCUUGCAAUGUUCUAGGUAUGGCUUGUGAUGUUUGAAGGAAGACAAAAGAAUGAUUUCUUGUAUUUAUAUAAGGGCAAGCGUGGCCACGCAGGGAAGAGGUUGGGUGUUACACGCGGUUCAACAUUCAAAACUUGGAUAAUUCUGUUGGAAUAUAAUAAAAGUGGGAAGUCGUACAGAGAGAGAAAGAGAGAGGGGAGGUGUCGCCCCAUGUGUUUUGAACGGUUGACCGUUGAAACGUUGAACUGGAGCAGGAGGGAAAAGAUGGAAUUGGACAUCGUCUAGAGAGGAGGCUUGACAGAGCCCCAAACACUAUUUAAGGGAGGGUCAUGGGUGUCCAUUCAUUUUUUAAAUAAUGGAUCAAAGGUCAAGAGGUUUGACGUUGGAGGAGUUUGGGACGGUGGUGGUGGUGGUCUCUGGUCAACGGGUCGGUGGGCUGACCGUGCGCAAUUGCGCAUGCAUGUGAAGUUGCGCUACCGUGCACAGUUUGAUUCGGCUUUAGUACUAAUAAUCACUAAUUAAUCUUAAAAUCCCGUAUGGACGUUGACCUGAUCUUUGGGCCGUCAUUAAGCUCCUCCUCAACGACACGCUCCCGACGCGGAACCCUCGGGGAUUCACAAGCUGGUUCGGGCUGGUCCCUUCCUUAGCCGUGUCGUUCGAUUGACCUGAGCAAAAUCCAAGUAUGCGCGUGCAUCUUUGGAUCCGUCACACGUCUUACGGAUUCCGAUUCCAAUAUUUCACGUGCGACAUAUAGAAAUCCACGUUCUCCUAGAAUGACGCCGAGAGAGCGAAGUGAAUUCGGAUUCUAAAUGAGAAAAAGUUAGCCGUCUUAUGAACCCUAUAGUUGAUUGGUCAUAUACAGCUCUCUCAAUAAAGAUAGAAAAAAAGCUUGCCAAUAUCUAAAUUUUGUGUAGUGGGUAGGGGUGUGCAACGGGAACCGCCUGAACCGGGAACCAGCCAUACCGGACCGGUCACGAUCGUCGGUCCAGUUCCCGAUUCCUAAUCUUGGAACCGGUGGCCGAUCGGUCCGGAUCCCGGUUCUAAUGUGGGAACCGGUUGGCUAAAUUUUUUUAUAUAUAAAUUUAUAUACAUAGAAUUAAUAAAAUAUAUAAACAUGAUAACUUAUUGCAACCAAAAUUGCAAUUUGAGGUAGCAACCUCUUAUGUAGCCAAGAGACCAUUAAAACCUUUUUGUUACUCUUUUAUUUAUAGAAAAAAAAUCUCCUUGUUAAUUUCAUCUUCUACUCGAUGUGGGACUAAGGGUCUAAGAGACCCACAAGGUACUUCAAGCCUCCAAAAGUCCCUUGUCAACUAAACAUUCAUAUAGCAAAAGAGAGAUUGUCUAUAAAAUCUAAGCUAAGCACAACCUUUAGCCAAAUUGUUCAUCACCUUCAUUGUUUAAGUUAAGUGUGAAACAUACUAAGUGUGAAUCACACAAGUGAAGUUUGAAUAUUUUACAUGUGGAAAUAUGUGUGAUUAGUUUUGUUGAAUUGCCCGAGAACCGAAUUGGAUUGAUCAAUUCAGAGCGCGGUCAUUUUUUAUUACAAAAAAGUAGAGCCGAUUUCGUUGGAUUGAACCGGAUCAGAGCGCGAUCACUCUUUAUUACAAAAAAGUAAAGCCGAUUUUGUUGGACUGAACUGGAACCGAUGUUUUGGUCCGGUCCAUAGUUCGCAAUUUUGGAAACUGGUGCUCCCGGUCCGAUUCCCGGUUCCAAGGUGAAACCAAACUGAAUUGGGAACCGAUUACCCUAGUAGUGGGUCAAGUUAAAAUUUAAGUUGUGAACUCAAUUAACUCGCAAAUAAUGAUGAGGCAAUCGGCUUCAACAUUUGUUGGCGACGCACGGUAGAGAUCCAAAUGCAUGCAUCGGUGAUUGGUGAGUGCAUCUUAUCUAAUUUCGCACGGUCUAAUAAAAAAAAUCACAUAUUAUGGGGCGUUGUUCUUUUCCUAGAAAUUCAUGAUGAAUUUUCCAUUUUCGACCACAUGCACAACAGUAGAGUUGGAGCAAUACUAGUAUUAUAGCACGUGAAAUAUUUACCGAACGUGUCAAAAAAGCGACAUCUUUAUCCGGUCGCCCCACACUUUUCUACGUGCUUGUCGGGCAAUGACAGUGAAAAGAGAGCGCACGCGGGAUGGAAAUUCGCCUAAGUCUGGCCCCAGGAAAAUUGGCAACAAAUUAAUAAUAAAAAAGGCGAUUAAAAUGGGUUUUAACCAAACAAUCAAUUGCCCAAAAAAUGCCAAAAGAGUAUGAUUAAUUAGCCGCGAAUCCGUUAAUUAAUUAACUUUUUAUAUUCGAGAAUAACUAGCUAACCUCUUGUUCCCGCGUCUUUUCUUGUAAUUUCGUCUAACGUCAGGUCAUUACGAUUAGUGUAAUUACAUGUGGACGCCCGUGCGUGCUUGUGGAUGGAAUUGGACCAAAACUGCACGAGCAGAUAGCGAACCCUAUAGUUUGACCAUCUCAUCCCUUUGUUUUCAACAAUGCUUGUUGUUGGCCAAGUUUGUCGUUAAAAAAUAAAUAUUUUUUCAAAAUGUUCUCUGAAUUGGGUUAUUCGACCGCCAUUGUCUUUAGGAGACUAAUUUAUCGGGUUUUGAUUGUACCAUUUCGGGCAAACCCGAUGAUGAAGGAAUACUAUAUAAUAGGUCCGGAACCAAAUGAAGACCGACGAAAUUAUACUACUUUACACUGUCUAUAAAAAAGUAUUAAAAUAAUAAAUUAUUUUUUAUUUUCGGUCAAAACCCGGUAGGAAAGAUUCAGAUAUCUUUCAAAUAAAAAUUGAAAUAUGUAAUUUCCUUUUAGAAGUAAAGUUAAACUUGAGAAGUAUGAUGUAGCUUUGGUGGGCUUCGUCAUUUGCAGGCACAAAAGGCCCACGUUCGUUGAACCAGAAGAGCAGUCGAACUUUUCCAAAGAAGUCAACCCUCCAUCUAACUUCAAUAAUGACUACCCUUCUAACAUAAAAGAGGAAGAUGGGAAGUUCAAAUUCCUACCUUCUUAGGAGAGAUUGGGAUGGGAAUGAUUUAGUUUUAAGUGUGAGUUUCGACUCUCAUGCCCUAUCAUUACAGGGUAAAAGUCUGAAAGUCAGAGUUAGAGUAUAAAUAAAGCAGAACCGAUAAAAAAAAAAAAAAAAACCCUUCGGCUAACUUCAAAUGCCCGGUGUUAGUAUAUUUAUCCUCUUUCAUGCAAUGUAAAUCUAAACUAGAAAAGGAGAUGCGAUCAAUCUCAGACAGCAAUUUUUCCUCGGUACUGAUGAUAUCAAUUAGCCAAUCGAGGUAUGUCGAUUACAAGAAUUGCAAAUUUGCAUCUAGUGGUAAUCACAAGUCCAAGGUAGAAUAAAAAAUCAAACCAAAUUGACCAUAGAAACCAGUCCAAUUUCAAGUUCUCACAGUUGCCGGUCCUAUUCACAAUUCCAUUAAAAAAAUAAAAAAGUGGAAUCGAUACUAUGUAGAUUGGUUCCAGAUUCCUAUUCUUACUUAGGAACCAAAAACUGAUGAAUCACACUUACAUCUUUUCAACUUUUUAUUGUUUAUAUUAUUUUACGUAUUCAUUUAUUUUAUAAAUUGUGCUAUCAACAAAUAAGAAUUUUUGUUGUUGUGUUUACUUUCAUUUUACUUAACUAAAAAUGAAACAAAAAAAAAAGGAAAGGAAAUUUGUUAGUUCCAAAGUAGACCGUAAAACCGAUUAACUAGGUGAGUUUCAACUUUUAGGGUACAUGGAGUAAGUUUCAAAUUUUAAGAACUAGUGAACUAAUUUCGAUAGGGUAAGUUCCAGGAGGAACUUGGAUCGAUCCUAUAGUCGUUCAUCCCUAUCCGCAUCUCAAGAAAAGAAUAUUUAAGUGUUGGUUAAGUUGGCAUGGUAUUACCCAUACAAUAAUCAUUCACUCCGAUUUGCUACACCACAUAUCAUUUUUAGGUGAGGUGACAUAUUUGUUUUCAUACACGUGACACUUGGUUUGAAUUUUGACCACGCAAUGUGCUUGCCCCGGUCAAGAUGCAAUUCAACUUAUAUAAGUUGAUAAGAUUUACGUCCCAUGCAUUUGGCGACAUUGAAACAAACAAGAACAUUUAAUAAAAAAAAGAAAAGAAAAGAAAGAAAGAGCGAAAACAUAGGAAAAGCAGCGAUAAUUGAGGACAGAAGAAGGCGACGGGACAAGACAAGCCCCGUGACUGCUUGUAGCAUUAGGGGCCCUUGCAGUAGGAGAGGGGAGGAUGACGGCCCGCUUCCACCAAAUCUUCAAAAUCAUCUGCCCACCCCUACCAAAGUUACAAAAAAAUCGAAAAGAAACAAAGGGAGAAAACUUUAUAAAAAAGAUAAAAAGCAUAUGCUAACUUUUAUAAAAGAGAAAAAGCAUAUAAUGCCUGAUACAGAAAAUUUGUGAUUUUUUUUUUUGGUGAAUUAUUGCGAUAGGGGCAGGGGGGAGGAUGCCGAUCCAAUGAUUCCGAGCACUUUGGCCCACGAUCGUGCCAAUUAUGCCGAAUCCACAAUUUUUACAGUCUGGGAAACACCCAUCAUGCCAGAGAGAAAGAGAUUAUGAUGAGAGUUGAAAAUGAAUGAAAUCAAUCUUCAUGGAAUCAUUUGUCGCUCGCGGAAUUGAUAUGUCAUCGAUCUAUCAAUCUACCAUAUCAAUGGCAUAAAAAUAGCAUCAUCAUUCAACUGUAUUUCGACGUGAUAUCUAUUGAGAAGCAUAUCGCACGUAACAUAAUUAAUUGGUCACACCAUGUUUGCAUAAAAUAUUAUUUCUAUAUGAUAGGUCCCUCCACAACAUCACAAUCCUGCUCGAACAUGGUGGUCGCCUAUCAUAUAUAGCUCUGUUAUCCUUACCAGUUUACGUGUCUACGCCAAGCCGAUCUCUCUCUCUCUCAAGCAUCACAGGGACCGCAAUCCUCAUUUUGUGUUAUACUCAUACCACAAAUAUAAUUUCAACAUAAUUACAAAAUACUUUUUCAUUAAAAAAAUUGUGUGAAAAUACGUCGGUUUCAAAUUAAAUCGUGACAUCCCAAAAGGCAAUUGAUUUUCACCAAAUUCUACCAAGAGUAUGAUGCAGAUGCUUCCAAGACGACCAUCAUUAAAGAAGGCCAAUUUAUCAAUUUCAGACAAUUUUAUUAAAGUCAGGAAGUGGACAAGAUACUAAGCACCACUAACCUCCUUAACACAAAAAAACAUCACUGUCGGGGCAAGAAAGAAAUUAGGCGAAGCACGUAGUCUAGUCACAGCCGUGGUUUCAAGAAACCGUCCAAAACUCCACGCUUAGCUGUCCACCAAAUCAGGCUCAUUGUCUCUCCUGAUAAAUUUACCUAAUUAGAUUUCUAUACUUUCAAUUUAUUUAAUCAAGUUCUAUUUCCAAAAAUUCCGAAAUCAGGUCUUCCUAAAGCCAAAUUCGACAAUAAUGUGACUGAAAGUGAUCUUCAGACGACGUCAAUAUAUGACUCCGCAUAAAACUACACGCGAACACCAAAGUGGGCACGUAAGGAAAAUUUUAGACAUCAUAGGUAUGAUUGGAUUUAGAUAAAUUUUGUGUCGGGAAAACCUGAUUUUGGAAGUACAUAAGAACAGAAAGAUUUCGGUAUAAAAACGUGAAAGUUAGGAUACAAGAAUUUUUCCAAUUAGAAAUUGUUCAAGACCAAAAGCAAACGCCAGCCAAUCGGUGGGGCUCUGCUUAGCUGUUUUCCUUUUGUUUGCUAUCUUACCAAUCAUCAAUUCUAACCAAUUUGCAGAGAAAAGAGGUUUUCCUUUUCCCAUUCUAUACUCCUCGUGAUGCCAUCAAAUCAAGGCCAUUAAAUAUUUGCCGACUCUGUUCGAUAAGUUUGACCUGCUCAGCUUCAACAUGAGGAGUGGUACUAGGCAAAAACUCAAAGGGGGAUCCAAAGGAGACGCAAAGACCUCCCAAAACAUACAAAUUAGCACAUGAAACACAUGACACUAAAAGUCUGAAUUCAUCACCAGAAAUUGUGGAUCACAUGGUCCCAUAUUAUUUCAGAGCACCAGAAGAUCUGCCUCAUUCAACGCGAAACGGAUCGACAAAUAAGUCCAAUACCAAGAAAGCCUGCACAUAAAUUAUACUUUCGCCAUUCAAGUUCAAGCUACAUAGCAUGAUCAUCUCUACAACACAUACCAGAAGAAAGAAAGAAAGAAAGAAAAACGCAAAUAUCUCAUAAUUAACAGGCGACAGCGAACAAAGCAAACCUCCAUGAAUCAUCAAUACGAACCCGACUCCUACAUUUACCGUUUUACUUUUAGUUUCUUUCGAGAACUCCCAUACCUUCAUCUCCCAUCUGCCGAAGUGAAUGAACUAGCGAACCCAGACGGCCGCAUAGGAAUACUCGUCUGGGUGCUCUCAUUGCUCGCUAAAAAUGAGGAAGAAGAUUCGUCAAUGUUACUGUUUCCCUCAUAGGCCUGCCACUUCUUGAGUGCUUGGGGUAAGGUCAUCUCCAGGUCGAUCCCAUACAUGUCCUCAGAGUCUGGCUCGGAUGGCUUCCAGAGCUCUACGAGCGACGAGAGCACGCUGACCGCGUGACCCAUGUCCGGCCUCUGGUAAGGUUCCCGCCCACAGCAGUGGCCUGCGAGCUCAGCAAUCGUGCUUACGCUUGCUAGUGUUUCUUCGUCGAGAUCGAUGACCGGGUCGAUGGCUUUCCGGAAUGUGUCCUUGUUGAGGUGCAUUCUCCGGAACCAUGUCACAAGGUGGACACUGUCCUCAGGCUGGGUUUCAUCGAGAGCCCUUCUUCCCGUGAUCAUCUCCAUAAGGAUCACUCCAAAGCUGAAGACAUCGGCUUUGGUGGUCACCCGUCCAGUCACUGUAAAGUACAGAUGUAGGGCCAUAUCAAGUAUUGGUGAUGAGUUUUUGCAGGACAUUAUGAAGAUGUAGUGGAUGAUCCCUGUUCUACUUGUCAUUACCAGACAUUUCAAAUAUCAACCCUCACUUAUUAGAUUCGACAGUAAUAUUAUUCUCUUCCGCAGCUAAACGAAGAGAAAGUAAGGAGAUUGUCACUCUCAUGUUCUGGGAGUAGCGAAUUGGCAAUAUGAGUAGUGAAUUGGCAAUAUCAGCAUUAUUCAAAUGGUUGAGCAUUCAGUUGGUCAAAAAAGAAAAAACAGAUUUGCUCAUGCAGAUAAGAAUGCUUCUCCAUUCAAUUAGGAUGCCAUUCCACUAACUUCGGUCAACUCACAAACUGCCACCUUCAAAUGUUCAUUAAUCAAUGAUAAAAACUACUAAUUCUAGAAUGCAACAUCGAGUAUUGGAAGUUUUGGACGAUAAAAGCUUGAAGUGUCUCGUCAUUUGAAAUGGCGCAAAGGAGUCAGCUGAUCCACUCUAUGACAUGCCUGAACAAUGGCAACAUUCAUUUGCCAGAUAAAAACAUUACAGGGCUCUUUUAGCUUAGCAUGGGAAGCAACAAGCAGCCAAGCAAGUACUUACCAAAAAAAAAAAAAAAAAAAAGCAGCAGCCAAGCAAGAGUCUCUCCAACCAAAGAACAAGCUACUGAGGAACAAAGAAAGACUUCAAAUCAUGUAUAUAUAUAUAUAUAUAUAUUUUUUUUUUUUUUACUCUGAUCCUACUGCUAGCAUUAAUCUGCAAUCAAGUAAUCCUGCAGUGUUGAAAAUCCAAAAGCUAUUAACUGUUAAAAUCGACAGAGUUCUAGGUCAAGAAACCAAUAAUUCAAGAACCAAAUAAGGACUCACAUCAAUCACACUUAUCUAGCAUGAUUGACAAAAUAAAGCUCUUUGGAUGGGAUCUCUUCCGGUCCAUAUGUCAAAUAGCUCAAGCUUUUUCUUUCUUCAGUAAGUAUACAAGCAUGCAAGCUAUGAUUUAAUUAUUCCUUCGCCUGGUUCUGGUCCUAAUAUAUUCUACACGAAACUCGUAUUUGAUUUUUGACUGACUAAUUAUGGUUCCCUAAUCAUGGCCAAAAUUAAAGAAAUUGUCUACAUGCUGGAACUCUGGACAUUUUUAGUAACUUCGUAAGGUUUAUAGCCAUUUCUAGACAUGUUGGAUUAUUGGAUCACAGGUGUCGUCCACGGGAAAAAAAAGGAGGGGACAGCAACACAAAUGCAACUUCACGUUUAAUGUAAUUCAAAGAAGACUUACCGGCAUAUUCUGGUGCAAGAUACCCAAAAGUUCCAGCAAGACGUGUUUCAAUAGAGCCUUUACCACCCUCAGGAGCAAGACGUACAAGUCCAAAAUCUGCCACUUUUGCCCGCAUAUCAUCCCCAAGCAGUAUAUUGGAUGGUUUAAGAUCACGAUGAAUAAAAGUUUGAUGAGCUAAACCGUGAAGAUAUUCGACCCCUCUGGCAACAUCCAAGGCAAUGCUGAGUCUCCUUGUCCACUCAAGAGGCUUUAGUCCUUCAUCUUUCCAGUUGAAAAGAUGUCUGCUGAGAGUCCCCUGAGGCAUGUACUCAUAAACGAGAAGCCUCUCAUUUCCUUCUAAGCAAUACCCCAGCAAUGCAACCAAAUGCCUGUGCCUGACCUUGGUAAGAACAGCAAUCUCAGCCUUGAAUUCAUUGAAGCCCUUCUCCGAGAUCACACCGGACUCCAUCCUCUUGACAGCAAUCUUUGUCCCAUCAUGUAAUUCGCCCUUGUAUACGGUCCCGAAACCACCUCUUCCCAAUAUGUUGUCUUGACUAAAGUUGUUCGUCACAUUCCUCAAGACCUGAAUAGAAAUGACCAUAUUCCCAGCCUCAACCACAUGAAUGUCCCCAGUCCCACCACUGCCUUGACUGUGGGUUUCACUAGAACCACCAUUAGCACUUGAUCCUGCAACAGUGAUCUUCACGCCAUUUUGGUCACCAGAAUGUCGAGGAUGUAUUACCAAUACGUUGUUUGGACUUUGCACUUUACCAGAACUCUUGGGCCUUUUUCUGUACCAAAAGACCAAACCAAGCAGCGCGAUCAAAGAAGCACCACCCACUAGAGGAGCCACAAUCCUCGCAACACUGGAUUUCUUGUUGUCAGAACCACCCGGGGAUCCCGGGGGAGUAGUCGUCGGUGAUGCAGGAGGCGCAAUGUCUUUACCUAUGUUAGGAUUACCAUCUUUAAUUAUAUUCACAUUGCUCCGAAAAGUAGGCACUUUACCGGACAAAUUGUUGUAGGAAACGUCCAGCACUUUAAGAUUAGACAGCGUUGUGAGCUCACUAGGUAUUGUACCGGUAAGACUAUUGUGGGACAGCAACAACCUCUCCAACGACGUAAUGUUAGAAUAUUCAGGAGCAAUAGUUCCAGAAAGACCCAUAUUUUGGAAAUUAAUAACAACGAUGUUGCCCCCAGAACAUGAAAUCCCUGUCCAUGAGUUACAAGCACUAUUCCCUAGCCAACCUUGAGCAAAUUUAACAGGGUAACCCAUUGGCCGAGCAAUGGAGAGCAGUAUAUUAACCAUGGGAUCACAAGGAAUGCCUGGAUUGGACGAGCAAAAACUAUUCGUACCAGUCAUAUCGACUUGAACAGCUUUAGUAUCGAAAGCAGGCAUCGAUCCCUGGAGCAAAUUAUUCGUCAGAUUGACAACCUUAAGGCUAGGAAGCUUCACCAGGGACUCAGGGACAACGCCAGUCAACUGGUUAUCCCUCACGCUGAAAUCCCACAGAUUCUUAAAAUUCGAAACGUCGGGUAUAGAACCCGUGAACUGGUUACUGUGCAACCAAACCUGUGCCAACUGGGUCAUGUUCGCUAUGACGUCUAUCGUCCCGUUGAGCUGCGAAUUCCCGGCCUUCCCAUUCAGCCAGAGGAUCUGAAUCGUCAACGUGGCGAAGCUUGCGGGCAGCCCACCUUCCAGGUUAUUGAAGGCCAACUGAAGCGCGAACAGGCUGGGGAAAUUCUCCGCAUUGAUGAAAUUGGGGAUUUGCCCGAUCACGUUCGCUUGGGUCGCGGUGAAAUUCUGAAGGGCGUUGCAAUCUUUCAGGCUAGCGGGAAUCUCCCAAGCAGCGAAGCUGUUAUAGCUUAAGUCAACCGCUUGCAGAGACGACAUACCAGUGAAGAAGUCCGCAGGAAUGGAGGUGAAAUUGUUGCGGUUUAGAAGCAACACCUGUUCCAAGAAGGGGGCCAAGAAAGCAAGAAUCACUCGCUCAUUCCCCCGAAAAUCAUCCAGAAAAAAAAAAAAAAAACAGAAAAGAGACCCACAGACUCGGUACCUGCAACUGAGCCAACCCGGCGAAACUCGGGAGGGGGCCGGAGAACUGGCUGUUCAUGACCUCAAACCGCGUCAGCUCAGUGAGGUUGCUGAUGUCCGGAGGGAGGGUCCCGGACACGCCCCGCAUACCUAUCUGGAUCCGGGUGACCCGAUUGCCGGUGCACGAAACCUGGGGCCACUUGCACGGGUCGGCGUCGGACCAGUCGAGGGAGGAAGGGAGCGUCACGCUCUUCUUGAGGGCUUGCAUUGCGUUGACGUCGCUCUGCACGGUCUGAGCAGAGGCAGCGAGGCACAGGAGGAGGAGCAGCAGCAGCAGAGGGAGGAGGAGGGCCAGGAGGGGGAGGUCCCGGCGGCGACGACCCAUCGUCGGGCGUCGUCUCCGCCGCCGAGGAGCGACGGCGGGGAACGGCGGCGGGCCCUCGACGGAGGCGGCCUUGCUGGGGCUCACGCGCGGCGUUCGGCGGAGGGGAAAGGCGCUGCGUUUCGCAGUUCGACCAUGGGAAACGGAAACUGCACGCGGAGCGAGAUGGAGAGAGAGAAGGGUGCGGUACUGUUGCUUUGAUAGAGAGAGAAAGCGAGAGGAAGCGGCGCAGAUUGAGGAUGAAGAAAAUCAAGGGAGGAAUAGAGACAGAGAGAGAGAGAAAAAGAGAGGGGAAAAUGCUUUUUAAGGAAGCGUGGGAUUACGAAGGAAAGUGCCAUGAAGAAAAAGGGAAAAUCUUCUUUCUUUCCCUUUUUUUUACUGCCAGAAAAAGAAAGGGAAUACACAUCGAACGACGAGGACCAGGAAAGACUCUCUUAUUACACCCGUACAGCUGCUUUCGUAUCGAAUACAAUCGCUUUCGGACAGCAUCUCAGGACAAACCUCGCUGUAGCAAAAAUGAAUUUAUUUUCGCCGUCCUAGUUGAAAGGACAAAAUUCGCUAAAAAUCUUAAAUUAUAUUUAUCAUAGAAUAUUUACCUCAAAUUUUUGGUGACAUCAAAAAUCCUAAAUAUUAUUCUAAAAUUAUGUAGUAUGACAUGUUUAUCCCAAACUUAUUCUCAGACACCAAAAUAGUUUGGAUUUUUUGUGUCAUAAGAAGAAAUUUAGGGUAAAUAUGAGAUUUUUGAUGUUAGAAGAAAAAAAUUGAAAUAAAUUUUGCAUUAUAGGGGUAUAAGUUUGAGUUUUUAGGUGUCACAAAAAAUAAUUAAGGGCAUAUGUGUCUUAGUGGGCAAAAAUUUAUGGUUUUUUCAUGGCUUUGCCCCUAAUUGAAAUUAGACAUAAAACCAAAAUUCUUUUCUCAUAUUAACCUCCAAUAAAAAAGGACCUACUGAUUUUUUUAAUUGAAAUUAGACAUAAAACCAAAAUUAUUUUCUUAUAUUAACCUCCAAUAAAAGGCACCUACAUUAUUUCUUGCGCCGAUAACCCAAUAUUUAUUUCCCCGCGUUGUCUCUUUUUUUCCUCAAAAAGGAUAGAAAUCGACUGUGCUCCUGUCGUAUGGAAGGGGAUGAAACGCAACAGCUGGCACAUGCGCGUGGGGCCCGCUGGGAAUUGAAAAUCAAGAAAGAAGAAAUUUUGGGUGGCGUUUAGUGACAGCAUUAGGUAUGACCUGGGAGCAAAGUGGUCGACACGUAAGGUGAAGGACCCCCUUUAUAAUAAAAGGAGUGAUAAUUUAGUGGUAUCCCGGGAGCAGAUUACGGCCUUACUCUUUAUGACUAAUAUAAUUUAGAUUUGACUAAUCGAGUGAUACGGAGCAUGAUGGCCCGAUUGCAUCGUUAAUGAUGCUCUGACUCAGGAAAAAAAUCACAUGCGACCUCGCCUAAGACAGAAACCAAGUUAUUACGUAGCUGAAUUUACUUUAAAAGCUCGCAUGUUACGCAUGGACGUUAUAAUUUACAAGUCGAGAAGUUAAGUGUGAAAAUUUACUUUUAUUACGUGAAGUAUUGUAUCGUGGGAUAUGAUAAAUAAAUUAUCGAUAAAAGCACAUAAUUCAACGGGAUGGAAAUAUGUCCGAGAUCGAAAAUUUUGUGACUGUGAAGUAGUUGUAAGAUAGAAAAAUGCUUCGAAUUUCGCCGUUAAAAAAUGCAGGAGGAUAAGGUAGAAAAAUUAAUUUAAUGCAUGUGUCAAUGCAUGACGUGUCUGUAAAAAAUAUUAAUUGCGGUAUGAAAGACCAUAUCCCAAAAGACAAAAGGGAAAUCGACGCAAUGGUGGUGGUGUGUCGCUGAACUCGAAAUUGACUUCUUCUUCUUCUCCUCCUCCUUUCAAGAACCAUUCUUUUUUACCGAUAUUUUUUUUCCAGAUUUGUUUAGAACUCGGCACCAGAUAAAAUAAAAUAUCAGCAAAAAAACAUAAUGAUAGUUUCUGGAAUAGAAGAGUCUGGGGAGGCGCGGAAGAAAUCCAAGAUCUGGUUGUCCUUUUCUGUCAUUUGGACAUUAAAAAAACUCGUCGCCCGGGGACAUUCUCGAGCCACGUGGCGACGCGGACGCGCCUCCCCGAACGUAGAAACCGUCCAAGGUUAAUCUAAUCGAAACUUCCCCCUCUCCCUCCCCUGAAUCCGGAGCCUAAUUGCCGUCGUCACCACCUGUGUUGACGAAUUUGCCCCUCCUGGACCGGCGAAAUUAUUCAUCACGGGCGGGAUGGAGGAGUUAAUGGCGUGUCUGCCGUCUGGUAUGUCUGUCAAUCCCCGAAGAAAAAAAAGUCUCUGACAGCCGCAUUCAAAUCCUGACACACUUCUCUUCUUCUUCGUCUUAUUUUUUUUUCGUCUUUUUUUUUUUUGUCUGAACCGAACCGAACUGCACCGCAUGUCAUUACUUUGCUGCUCUAAUCGAAAUUAAGAGGAGUGGUGGGCCCCACACGUGACUUCGAUUCCUAGACAUAAAUAUGAUUAGUUAGUUGGGCGAGCGGAGGUCGAGCCCGGAGCCUAUCAUUCUUGCGGAAUUUGGCCGGCCUUGGCUACUUUAAUCGGGUCCACAGAAAGAUGGAACUUUCUUAGGAAGGAGCCCCUCCUUGUGGAAUAGGGGUUUGUGUUAUUAGAGCAUGUGGCAAAAAAAUAUAUGUGCAUAAGUUGCUCUCAUGUUUAACCUACACAAUGCCAUAAUUGAAUUGAUCUUAUGUCGUCGGCGACGCGAUAAAAUUUCGCGUUUGAAUACGUGAAGUUAUGGCAAAAAGAAUAUGUCAGAUUAUUCGAUUCAUGAAUAUAAAAAAAAAAUGACUCGAUUUUAAAAGUGUAACUUAAUUCAGUUUUAGACUUUCGAGGUCAUGACAUGCUGUUUUAAGAAUUGAUUAAACGGGAAAAGAUGCAUUUCGUGUGUGGUGCGCGAUGUUGAUCUUUCUAUUUUCUUAUUUUGCAUUAACCCAUGUCUUGUUUGUAACAGCACGUCACUUGUUCAUUUAAUUGUUGUUGUAAGGAAUAUAUUCAAUUGUUUUGAUACGACACGAUAUAAAUUGAGACAUUGAAAUAAGAUGGGGACACGAAAGACUCGGGGAAUGAGACCCGGGCAGCUAACACACGCUCAACUAAACAAUUAACUCAAUUUGGGUAUUUCGUAUGUUGUCCAUUUGUUGUACCAACACCCCCCCUUCCCCCCUUCCGGUCCCAACAAAAAAACGGUGCUUUUACGGACAAUAUGUCCCACACUUCUUUAACCGCGACGAGGAAUAAAGCACUGUUUAGCCACUUCUUUUGAAACUAAGAGGUGAUCGAUGGGUGGGCCUAGACCAGUCACUUAGGUCGGGCCUCAAGUGUUGUCCAGGCCUCCUCCUCAUAAAAGUUUAUAUCAUGGUGCCAUUUUGGACCAAUAUGGCUCUACCGGGCCCAUGGGCUGUCAAGCCCAUAAUUAUGUCCAUUUGAAACUUGAUUACAUUUAUAUUAAUGAACAAAUCGCAUUGUGUGAUCCACGCAACUCUAUUCGGUGCAUCUUCAUUUGGCAUGAGAAUUUCCCAUCCGUAGAUCCUAAUUUAGUGUCAGCAUUAAGUGCCAUAGUGAUAGCUCCGUUUCAACCUAAAUAGUUCCCUCGAUUAAUCAAUAGUUGAGAGAUUAAACCUGAACCUGGUUUAUUCAUGGAAGAAUGCAGAAUGGCUUAUCCGUAUCUAUUAUGGUCAGGCCACGUAAAGUCCAAGUACUUGAUUGAUUAUUUGCCCAUCGGAUUGAUAGGAAGCCAUGGAGGAUCAACGGGAGACAAUAAAAUGAGAUUUUAUAUGAUGAGAUGACAUGCCCUAAUGCUCCGGUGCCACAACAAUUUUGAGACGAGGUCAAAAUAUCAAUGCGAAAGCUUAGCUGAUGAUUAGUCUCUUAUAUAUACUAGAGCUGUUAAAUAGGUGGGUCGGGUCGAAUUUGGGUUAGGUCAUUAAUGGGUCGAUCCAAAUGGACUCAUUAACCAAUUUAUGACCCAUUUAUAUAUAAUGUAAAUUUUUCGACCUAUACCCGACCCGACUUGACCCAUAUUAAUAAAAUAUUUUCAUAUUUAACCAAAUUUAGGAAAAAUUAUUCUUAUGUUUUUUUAAAAAAAUUAUAUUAUUAGAAAACUUCCAAGCAAUACAAAUCCAAUCAAUAAUUUUUCAAAAAAAAUUAUUUCUUAUAUAUAUAUAUAUAUUUAAAAACUAAAAUAGUUUUAUACAUUGGACAAUUUUUAAAAUAAUUAUUUUAAAAAUUGAAUUUUAAUUAUUUUUAUUUUUUUAAAAAAUCGAAUUUUAAUUAUUUUUUAUUUUUAAAUAAUUUUUUUUUCUUUUUUCUUUUUUGUUCUUCUUCUUUGGCCAGCCGGGGGCCACGAUGACGGCCAAUGGCCGACCACAGGUGAGCCUCAAGCUCACCUGGGUCGCCGACGCCGGUGACCUCAUAGCUCGCCAAAUUCGGCGAGCUCGAGCUCACUCGAUGCUGGCGAGGCUUGAGCCUCGCUGGAUGUUGGCGAGGCUCGAGCCUCGCCGGGCAUCGGUGAGGCCUUCGCCUCGCCAGAUCUGGCGAGCUCGAGCUUGCCCGACGCCGGCAAACUCGAGGCUCGCUUGGCUGGUCGCCGGUCAUCGCCGUGCCAGCGAGCGGAGGAAGAAAAAAGAAAAAAAAGGAAAGAAAAAAGAAAAAAGAAAAAAAUUAUAAUUUCGGUUAUUAUAAAAAAAAUUGUAAAGUUAAAGAAAGGAGAGGUUUUGAAAAUAAAUUGGUUGAUAAAUGGGUUUUAAAUAGGUCAGAUAUCUUAGUAUUGACUCAUUAAAACUCAUUAUGGGUGCUUUAUGAAAUAAUGCUUGACCCAUUAACGACCCAUUUAAUUAUAAAUGGGUGCAACCCAUUUAACACCUCUAAUAUAUACACAUUAACCAAUACAAGCAAAAAAUAACCUCCCGAUUUCAAAUAAAAAUACAGCAUUAUUUAAAAUAAAAGUAAGGAUUUCAAAUAUGUCACGUCGAUUGCAAAUCAUUUGUUUUGUCGAAAUCAAUUCUUAAAAGAUUUAAUUUUAUUCCUUGCACGAGAACGCUUACAAAUUUUAUAGAUAGGUAGAAUCAAAAUCUCUAGCUCCUCCAUUUAUUCGCCAUGUUAGAAUAUGUCGACCGGCCAGUCUUUGUUGCUGGGUGUUCAUCGUCUUCAUAGAGCUUCAUGAAAGCCUGCGUGAACAAUCGAAGGACCAUUACUCAACGUAUUAUCGGAUCUAGCAAAAUCAAAACCGUUCUCGAUUGUUAAGAGCUUUCGUCUCGCAUGUACCGAUCGUAGGUCACUUUUACUAUGCCGGCCACAGAGUCCGCAAUGGUCUCGAAAGCUUCCUUCGAGAGGUCGAUGGUGCCGGCACACCUGCCUGGGCAAUGGUCGACUAUCCUCACCUCAACCGACCUGCCCGUACACGGGUCUUGAAUGCCCGAGUAGGCGGCGCCAAUGCACGUCACCCUGUACGUGCUUCCACAGGCUGCCCCACCAGCCGAGAACGCGUGGCUCGCCGCAGCUAUCAUCAUGCCCUGAGGCUGGCUUCCAUAGCAUGCCGAAGCUGCGCGACCGAGGAAUUCGACGAUACAAUCGAUUAGCGGAAAAAUCAAAGGAUCACCCCGCUCAACUCUACUACAGAAACAUCUUCGCAUGAUGCACCGGAGAAACUUACGAACGUAUUGCUGGUAGAAUGUUGCCGUGCCUGAAUCAGCUAGAGUUGCCAAUGGAAUGGAGGAAAGCGCAAGAGCAAAUGAGGUUAGGACAAAGACAUGGUGAUUAGCUGCCAUCGUUGUUCUGAUUUCCUCGCUAACCUCUCGUCUGCGAAAUACAGAAAUUCACCAGAGUUCCAAGCCGCAUCAACAUUUAGUUUCAAGUACGGCUUCGUCAGGGGAACCCAUCGAGCAGGUGAGUCCCGGUGAUAUUGCUCUGAAAUUUUUUUCCCCUUGUUGCGACUAACCGAAUCGAGUUGUUUUUGUGUCGUGGUGCUCAGAUCUGCCGGGGGAAUCCAUCGAGCAGGUGAAUCCCAGUGAUGUGGCUCUGAAAUUGUUUUCCCCUUGCUGCGACUAACCGGAGCGAGUUGUUCAUGUGCCUUGGUGUUCAAAUCUACUGGCUUCGUUGGGGAAAUCCCUCUAAUAGAUGAGUCCCAGUGAUGUUGCUUUGAAAUUUUUUUCCCCUUACUGCGACUAACCGGAACGAAUUGCUCCUUUGCCGUGGUGAUUAGAUCUGCUGGUUGUGGGUUUAUUCCGCGGAAGAUCCAGUGGUUUCUCGCCCUCCAUAUGUUCCAAAGAAGCAGGGUCGUCAUUUCUCGAGCUAGUAAAGAGGUUUUACCUCGAAACGCUUCCGUGAGCCACAGAUUUGAGCGUUGAAUGUGUUUAGUUGGCCGAAUCUCUGCAUAUCUCGAAUCUUGCCAUCCAUUGACACAAGAAGAACAAAUGCUCUGUUGUUUCGAUGUUGUUGUGACAAAAUGGGUCUUGAACGAUCUUUCUUUGGUGCAGAUUUUCUCUGGUUGGGAGAGCAUUUUGACACAAGCUCCAGAGGAACGUUUGGAUUUUAGGAAAGACAUCAAGGCUCCAGAUUUUAUUCCACAAGGUGCGUGGCUGUUGGUAGGAACUAGAGGGUUUCUGGAGCUCUGUUUUAGUAGCUUGUUGAGUUGCAAUAUUGUAGCCACUUUUAACAGAGUACUGUCCCGUUUUGGUGCCUGUCCAGAGUAACAUAUCUGGCUGGGGUUGUUGACUCAGAGGAAUCGCUAAGAUUUCAUUUGCUAUGCUUGGUUCAUAAAGCUGUUGAAUUACCUGCUGCUUCCAUUCACGUGUUUCUGUGUUAAUUAGUUUUGACACCUAAAAGGGUUCUAUUUGGGAUGCUUGGUUUCUCUGCCAAUCAUGAGUCCCUGCCAUCCCCAAGAUGAUCUGCGGCCCUUAGCUGCUGUCCACACAUCGCCAUGAGGAAAAUAAAUUCCUUUAAGGAGGCGACUCCAGAGUGCUGUUGGGGAAGUGGCCAAUCUCCAGAGUUGCUUUUCAAGCAUAGCUCUGAAGGUAAGCAAAUCCUUUAAUCCCAGCCCACCAUUAUUUUUUCUAGUUUUUAAUAUUUCCCAUCGUUUCCAAUGCAAUCCCCUUUUGGCAUCUCCUUUUUGCCACCAAAAUGACGCUGUUGGUUUCUCUAUGGCUUUGUAGAUAGAAACAGGGAUCUUGAAUAUAGACAUCGCAUAGGUAGGAAUGGACUGCACUACGCUUUUUAUCAAGACCUCCUUUCCUGCCUUGGUAAGCAAUUUCUCUUUCCAGCCUUCUUAUUUAGAGUUCACUUUGGCUAGAAUCCAGCUAAACAAUUCUCGCUUAGAGUUGCCCACUCUGUAGGAAUACCCAAAUAUCUACCUGUUUUCUCCAAUACAUUUACUCUCAUCUCUGUGGCCAUAUUCAUUUUUAAAUGAUCUGGACACUGUGCACUGAAGUAGAUCCCUGAUUUAUUUAAAUUAAUGGCUUGCCCUGUAGCAUUUUCCUAGUUCACUGCAUCAAAUUGAAUGCCUUUCCUCGUUUUGUUGAUGCUAUUCGUCUUCCAAAUAUGUCAUGUAAAUCUUACUCCUGUUUUCGGCAUCAUGGAGAGGCUCAUAUUGCCAAAGUUCCCACAAUUUCCAGGAAUCGUUAUAUCUGUGUGCAUAUCGUCACAUUGAGAAUAAAAAGUGAUAGAAUGGAAUGAACAUUAGCAUAUAUAUCAAUGAAUAUGGCAAUAGAUCUUGUGAUUGUUCUCAUUAACUCAUUAUUCGGAGCAGAAGUUCUUGUUCUCCUCAAGGAUCUGUGUAACUGUUCAAAUGAAUCCAUUUCAAGGAAUCUAUGUCGAAACCUCGUCGCAAAGUAGUCAUGAUACGUUUUUUUUUUUUUUUUUUUUUUUUUCGGGUAUGGGUAGUCAUGAUAUGUCCUUGAAAAUAAAAUAAAAAAACAAUACUGAGAAUGUCCUUAUAGAACAUUAAGAACCGAAAAAAUAUCCUGUCGAAGUGGUUAUAAGAGGAAAAAAAAUACCUUAUAUGUUAAUGAACAUUGACCAUAAUAAGAGGGAUACUAGCAAUAAAUUUUUAAAUUUAUUAUACUUAUACUAUCUAAUCAUGAACCUUUCAAUUUGGCAAAUUUGAAAUUAACCAAUUUGACAAUUUACUAAUGUAGUCCAUCCGGUCACUUUUGAUUAGAAGUUGUUGACAUGGAGGCAAGCUAUUAUAUGUAGUAUGGCCGACGUUGACGAAGGACCCCCUCUCACCAAAUCCGGCCAGGCCAAUCAUCGUCGGGCCUCACUCGAAUGUGGGCGACGGCCACCCUCGCUGGAUUGGGCGAGGCUCAGCAAGGACCCUCGUCAACGAAUCCUAUGGACGAUAGCCAGCAACCAGCCAUUCCCUAAAAGAAAAGGGAAAAAACAAACAAAGAAAAGAAAUCCAAAAAAUUAUCAAAAAAUCGUAACAAUUGUCUAUAUCAAUACUAGCCAUUGACAUAAAAUGGCUAGCAUCAACAUCAAUGAUUUCUAAUUAAAAUUUAUUAGAUGGACUAUAGUGGUAAAUCAUCAAAGGUUAUGUUUGGUAGUCCAGAUUUUUAAUCAUGAUAGGAAUAUAUAAAAUAAGGUAUGAAAUUCAUGAAUUUUGUUACAUCCUAUCAACUAUUUGGUGAUUGCAAUAAUAAAGUCAAAUAUAUUCACAUAUGUCAUGUAAAUUGUUUGGUAUAAAAAGUAUAUUAGUAUAAAUGAACCAAAAAUUUUACAAACGGAAAUAGUAAAAUCUCUCACAACACUAUUUUAAUUUUCCUUAUUCUUUAAUUAAUUAAUUUUUUUCUUUCUAUCUUCCCCUUCCCCCAUUCUCUAAUAAAAUUUUAUUAUAUAGUAAACUGUACUAAUAUACCAAAAAAGCUACAAUACCUAAAAUAUCUAAAAAUAUAUUGAAAUUAAAUUAUAAAAUAGAAUUAAAUUCGAAUUAUAAAAUUAAAUUCAAAUAACUAUUUUUUUUGUUUUUUUGAAUUUAUUAUAUUAUAAUUCAAAUUUAUUUAAGUUGAAAAAUAAUAUUAAUUUUGCUAAUUUAAGAAAUUUUGUUAUUUGAGAAAAAUAACUUUCCUAUUUUAGAUAUUUUAAAUCAUAUCCACAUUUAUCAUAUCUCCUUAAUGGGAUAAUAUUAUUCAUUUUAUAUCCCCCUUAUAUGCAUUUUUCUUCUAUCUUGAGUAAGUAGUAAAUGCAAGAUACGUAUUCCGAAUUUUAUUCUGAUUGUCAAACGCAGCUAAAAGGUUUUAAGACUUAAUUGGGUAAAUGAAAAGUUUAUAAUUGAAUUUAUAUAAAUGUAAUAAGUUUAUGACUUUUUUUAGUAAUUUCGAUCCAUAAUAAGGUAUAUGCUGUCUAGCAACUUUUAUAGUUAUUUAUAUGGAGUUUUCCCUUUCAUUCAAUUGACGGUGGAAUUUGGAUUCUACUGGCGGUGGACGAUAUAAUAACCCCUAGGACAAAUAAUUAUUAAUUCCAAAAUGCUUCGUGGCAAGCCAUAGAGAAAGCAUGCGCCAUUUAUGGAUGGCCGUGCAACACAAAUUCCAAACUUAUGAAGCUAGCGACGUUGUUUUGUUCUCUUAUGUCAGUUUCUUUCCAUCAUUUCUUACCAUCUCUAGGCUGCUUGGAGACACGAGUUGAGUAGGGAAAUGGCAACACCCAAGGGGUACAGUAGGUUUUGGGGCCUCUCCUGUAUGUUAUCAUAGGGAAAAUACUCGCUCGGAAAGUUCACGACUUUAUUCAUCGACAUGGUCAUCAUCAGCUUCGCGAUGCUGAUUUCACACACGAUAAGCAAACAACAUUACAGAACCAUGCAACAUUAAUUCAAGCCAUUUAUUUAUCCAUCAUAAUCACCAACAAGCGGCCUCCACGUUGGUGUUAUCAGGUGCUAUUCAGAGAUCAGCUUCAUGAGAGCCUGCAUAAAGAAAGCCCAAGCACCAUCAGCACUUGGAGACGUACGCGAUUUAUGAUCGAAACCAAAGAGAAUAAUCGUCGAGAUCAUACCACGAAAGCUUCCUGUGAGAGGUCAAUGGUGCUGCAACACCCCGGGCAAUAGUCGACAAUGUCGGUGAUGCAGUAGACGCAAUGUCUUUACCUAGGUUAGGAUUACCAUCUUUAAUUAUAUUCACAUCGCUCCGAAAAGUAGGCACUUUACCGGAUAAAUUGUUGUAGGAAAUGUCCAGCCUUUUGAGAUUAGGAAGCUUCGCCAGGGACUCAGGGACAACGCCAGUCAACUGGUUAUCCCUCAAGCUGAAAUCCCACAGAUUCUUCAAAUUC